rnacentral:lncRNA from 1 species
UAUAUACUUAUUUAUUAUCUACUGUUCAUAUGGAUCUAUGACUGAAAGCUCCCAAGCUACGCAGCAGUAAAAAAACACGAGGAAACUGGAAUUCUGUCUCACAAUACACACACACACACAAAACAAAAAUGAAGUUAUUAUACAUAAAUUAUGUAGGGGUUUGAAGAACCCCUCACCAUCACCAGGGAGUGUUUGAACAAGUCACCAGAACUAUAGCAAAAGACAAUUUUUUAUUGAUUGUUAAAACAGUUAUUGUUUAGCCCAAGGUCAGAACUGACCAAGCAGAGCAAUGAUCAAAAACAUUCCAUCUGAGACCACCCGGUAUUUUUUUUUUUAUCUAUGUGCACAGAACUCAGGAUCAUACCAUCUAGACCGCUUUUUCUUCAAAGUUGGUAGGAAGUGAUGAGGGAGAUUUGGCUGCUAUUUCCAGCAGGCAGAAAGACCAUGUAAAGGCUCCGUCUUUUGCUUCGAACACCUGUGUUUUAGGUAAGUGGUGAAUAAAUGAACCUUGUAAUACAAUAUUACUAUACAAACACACAAUCAGUGAACUACCAUAUUAUGCACACCCCAUGGACAACAUUACAACACAUAAUUACAGCACAUCACACACACAGUAUAUACAAUGUUAAUACACACAUCCCGUCAGAGCAAACACGUCACAAAUAAUACACUCAUACACAGUGUACCCAGGAUGUAUAUAAUGAUGAUAGUACAAUGUGCACAUAUUUGAUUGUGAAAGUGUGAAUAUUUAUUUCCAGUGAGUGUACAUAACACAACAUAAUACACAAUGCAAAAAUGAGUAAGCAAGUAUUCUCAAACGCAUGAAAAAUAUAUACAUUUAUAUAUACAAUAUAAAUGUGUGUGUGUGUGUGUGUGUGUAUAUAUAUAUAUAUAUAUAUAUAAUAACAAAGGGUAAAAUUAAUUAAUUAAGAAGUAAUAAUUUCACCAAGUAGAAUUCGGCAUGAAAAAAGGACCAUUUCAUGGUAAACUUAAGUAAUCCUUAAUAAUUAGGGUUCAGCAAAGAUUUGCUUUACCACAUACCAAAGUUUAGAAAUAGCAGCCAAAAAGGUUAGCUAUUUCUUCUACUUUAAAAGGGGGAGUCCCUUUUUAAAGUAGAAGAAAUAGCUAACGUUUUUUGGCUGCUAUUUCUAAACUUCGGUAUGUGGUAAAGCAAAUCUUUGCUGAACCCUAAUUAUUAAGUGUGUAUAAGGCGCAUGGCUCAGUGGUUAGAGCGUUGAGCUUACGAUCGUGAGGUUGUGAGCUCGAAUCCCGGACCGGGCUGCGUGUUGUGUUCUCGAGCAAGGCACUUUAUUUCACGUUGCUCCAGUUCACUCAGCUGUAGAAAUGAGUUGCGAUGUCACUGGUGCCAAGCUGUAUCGACCUUUGUCUUUCCCUUGGAUAACACUGGUGGUGUGGAGAGGGGAGGCUGGUAUGCAUGGGCGACUGCUGGCCUUCCAUAAACAACCUUGCCCGGACUUGUAUCUAGGAAGGUAACUUUCUAGGUGCAAUCCCAUGGUCAUUCAUGACCGAAGGGGGUCUUUACCCCUUAUAUAUAUAUAUAUAUAUAUAUAUAUAUAUAUAUAUAUAUAUAUAUACACACACACACACACACAAAGCAGACAUAUAUGUACACACACACAACAAAUAUAUAUAUAUUUAUAUAUACACUCAAACACACAUACACACAAAGCAGAAAGAAUUUUAUUUUAAAAAAUUUGAUUAUAUAUAUUAUUAUUAUUAUCAUCAUUAUUAUUAUUUUUAUUUUUAUUAUCAUCAUUAUCAUCAAGGCGGCAAGCUGGCAGAAUCGUUAGCUUGCUGGGUAAAAUGCUUUGCAGCAUUUCGGCUGUCUUUACAUUCUGAGUUCAAAUUCCACCAAGGUCGACUUUGCCUUUCACCCUUUCGGGGUCGAUAAAUUAAGUACCAGUUGCAUACUAGAGUUGAUCUAAUCAACUGGCCUGCUCCCCACCAAAAAUUUCAGGCCUUCUGCCUAUAGUAGAAAAGAUUAUUAUUAUUAUCAUCAUCAUCAUCAAGGUAGCAAGCUGGCAGAAUUGUUAGCAUGCUAGGCAAAAUGGUUUGCAACAUUUUGUCUGCCACUACGUUCUGAGUUCAAAUUCCACCAAGGUUGACUUUGCCUUUCAUCCUUUCAGGGUUGAUAAAUUAAGUACCAGUUGAAUACUAGAGUCAGUGUCAUCGACAUAUCCCUUCCCUAGAAUUUCAGGCCCUGUGCCUUUAGUAGAAAGGAUUAUUAUUAUUACUAUUAUUCAGUAGUGGUAGUAGUAGUUAGCAGAAGCAACAGAGAGACUUAAGAACCGAGAGUAUUAUGCAUCAGCACUUAUCAAACUAUAUAUAUAUAUAAUUAAAUGCUUCUGUGAGGAGAUGCUGAAAAAUUCCUGGCUUUAAGAGUAUCACAAAAGGCCUGGUUGGAGGCCUAACUUUCCAAGUUCUUUCAGAGGUCUUAGAAAAAAAAUGACAGACUGCCGCAAUAAGCGUGUGAAUCUGAGAAAGGAGCAUGUUCAUAAAAUCAUAAUUAACUGAUGUUCCUGUAUUUUCUUUUACCCAAAGCCAGGAACUUUUCAGCCCCAACUCCCGUCCUUGUAUCUUGUUAAUUAUUAAUUUUUCAGAGAAAAAUAAAUGCGAUAUUCAUCAAUAUCAUACAAGACUAUAUCUGUGUGGAAAAUUAGAAAACAAUUCAUUGAAAAAUCCUUAAAUGACUGGAAGAAAAUGAAAAAAAUUAUAUUUAUAUAUGUAUAUAUAUGUAUGUAUGUAUGUAUGUAUGUAUGUAUGUAUGGUGCGUGACUUCUGGGACAUCCCAUAUAUAUAUAUAUAUAUAUAUAUAUAUAUAUAUAUAUGGGAUGUCCCAGAAGUCACACACCAUUCCGGUUUCCAUUAAAGAUAAUUGACGCAAUGUAUUUUAUUUCCAUAUUUGAAGCAUGUUUUAUUGCAGAGGGUGCUCAAUUUGAGCAUUUGUUAGGAUUAUUUUCAAUAAAGUGUUUUUGAAAUCAAUAAAGGAGUAUUUUUAAAAAACCCAGGAAGGUGUGUGACUUCUAGAACACCCCGUGUGUGUGUAUAUAUACAUAUAUAUAUAUAUAUAUAUGUAUAAAUUAUAUUUAUAUAUAUAUAAAUUAUAUUUAAAUAUAUAUAAUUGCAGAAGGCCAGAAAUUCAAGGGUGGUGUAGGUUGAUUAAACUGACUCCAGAAUUUGACUGGAACCUUAUUUUAUCAAAACCAAAAGGAUUAAAAACAAAUUUGAUUUCAGCAGGAUUUGAACUAACAACAUAACAGCACAAAUACAACACCAACAAUUCUGUCAAUCCAUCACCCUUAUAAUAAUUAGAAAAUUAUUAAUAGUAAUAGUAAUAAUAAUAAUAAUGGUUCCAAAUUUUGGAACAAGGUCACCAAAAGGAAGAAAGGAAAAGUUGACCCUGGUCAACUUUCCCCUUCUUUUGAAAUCAGAAUACAAGGAUGAAAUGCCACUAAGCAUUUUGCCCAGCAUGCUUCUGCUAGCUCAUCACCUAAUUUAAUAAUAAUUUAUUCUUUUAUUGACCACAAGGGCUAAUAUAUACAAACAUAAAAGGACAUACAAUAACAUUGAAAGAUAAAAAAAAAUAGACGAUACAAUGGGUUUUCCUUGUAUAAACAAUACAAAACAAUAAAAGAUUAAACAAAUUAAAACUCCCAAUAGGGGAGGUGCUUUAAAGGUCCUCAUGGAAAAAUCCACAAAAGCCAUGGGUGCCUGAUCAAUAGGGCAAUAGCCCUUUUAUUUUUACAGGUGUAUAUACAGAAUUGGUUCUUUCACACUGACCAUUCUUCCAACAUUCACCCAGGCACAAGGCCUGAAAUUUUAGGGUGGGGACUAAUCAAUUACAUCAACCCCAGUGCUCAACAACAACAACAAUAAUAAUAAUGUUGGUUAUUAUUUGUCAUUUUUGCUAUUUCUCCUUUAUGUAAUUCAAAUUUUAUUGCAUCAAUAUAUUUUCUAUAUUAACUCUAUACAUAUUUUGGCAGUGACACAUAGUAAGAGUUCUCAUCGAAAGAAAGAACUCUUAAUUAACAGACAUGAUAAGUGAGAAGAAAUUUGGUGACUCUCACUCAGACUGUGCACACAAGCCAUCAGCCCUUCAUCUUAUCUCCCACAUGGCUCCGCCUCUGGCUUCAGUUAAAACAGAUUAAAGAUCAAGAUUGAUAAUAUAUAGUUUUACCAGAUAGGUUUUUGUUGCUGUUUAAUACCAGGUCAGCCCUGAAUGAACAAGCCAAUGAUCAAAGGCAUUCCAACCAUGAACAUUCAGUUCAUCCAACUUCCAGUCACUAUAUCUAGGGCUACAUUAAUCAAUGUGUCCUUUUUUUUUUUUUUUUAUGAUGGUAGUAUGUGAUUUAUGGGAGAUGUAACUGCUAGUUUUAGCAGGUCAAGCAACCACAUCUGGAUUCGACAUUAGCAUUUUUUACUGUUUUUUAUAUCUAUUUUCUUUGCUUGUGCUGUUUAUGGAUGCAGAGUGGUUGAAUGCUUAAGAGGUUUGUUGCAUGGUGUCUUGGGAAAAUAAUUUCUAUCAUAUUCUUGGAUCAACCCCUGCUAAUUUUGCAGGUCAAAUUGAGUAGACAGAAACUGCAUGAAAAAUUCAUCACCAUCAUCAUCAUUUCAAUGUCCACUUUUCCAACAAUAAUUUGGACCUUUCAUUUCUCCUGUGGUCAAAGAUUAACCUGUUCCUGAAAGAAAUGUUAAGGCUAACACAACAUUUACCAAGUUAUCUAUUAGCUAUUCCAUACACUAAUAUGAAAUGAGAGAGGAGGUGCAAUGGCCCAGUGGUUAGAGAAGCAGACUCGCGGUUGUAGGAUUGCGGUUUCAAUUCCCAGGCCGGGCAUUGUAAGUGGUUAUUGAGCAAAAACAUCUAAAGUUCCACAAGGCUCCAGCAAGGAGGGGGAGGGGUCGAACCCUGCUGUACUCUUUCACCACAACUUUCUCUCACUCUUUCUUCCUGUUCCUGGGCCAGCGUUUUCACACUUUGUCACGCUGACUCUCCCUGAGAACUACGUUAAGGGUACAUGUGUCUGUGGAGUGCUCAGCCACUUGCACAUUAAUUUCACAAGCAGGCUGUUCCGUUGAUCGUAUCAACUGGAACCCACAUCGUCGCAACCGACAGAGUGCCACGAUUAAAUGAGAAAUAUGGAAUGAAAUAUUUCCAUCCAAGCAGACUCAACAAUACUUUUACUACAGUUAUCAACCUAAAACUUAGGAGAUAGCAGACGUGUACACACACACACACCUAUAUAUUUCCAUUUGGCUAUUCCCCCGUCUAUCAUGCAUUAAAUGUUAUCAAUAUGUCUUUGAGACAAAUUGGACGAAGACAGAAAUACAGAUAGGAAGGUGUGAGAAAGACAGAUGCAGAAAGAAUGAUGAGAGAGAGAGAAAGAGAUACAAAGAGAAGGAUGAGAAAUUACGUAAAAGCUGAUUUAUAUAAAUAUAUAUAUAUAUAUAUACGAGAGAAAGAAAGACUAACAGACAGACAGAGGGAGAGACAGAGACAGAGAAGUAAAGGCUUCAAACAAUGAAUAAAAGAGAGAAAUAACAUUUUGGAACAAUAAAUUUGUAACCAAGUGAAACAUUAAAAUAAAACGGUAAAAAGCAAAAUACAACAUGGAAAAAAGAAGUACUCAAAUUUUUCAUUUUAAUAAAAUAUCUGUGAAAUUGCAAAGCAAUUUGAUGAAAAGGAUUUUCAGUGACUUCCCUUCAGCAACAAGCUUAGGAGACAUAAUUAUGAGUGUGAGCAGGUGUGUGUGUGUGUGUAAUCACAUCAUACACACAUUUCUAUAUGCAUAUAUACAUGCACAUUUAUAUACACACAUACACAUAUAUAUAUACACACACAAUACCCACACACACACACACACUCACAUACAUGCAGACAAUACCCACACCCACACAUGUAUUUAGCCUUCAAAUCAAUUUCAAAAUUGAAACGUUUGAGAAUAUGAUAGAAUAAAAACAAUUUUUUAAAAUAUGUUUUGACAAAAAGUUGUCCUUGGAUGUUAAAAGAUGAUUGAUAUUGACAAAAUAUAUUUAAAAGAAUUAAAAGAACCUAGGUACAGCAACAACAACAACAACAAUAAACAUUUCUAGUACAGACACAAGACCUCAAAUAUUUUGGGGAAGGAAUGCAUGUGAUUUAAUCAACCAAUCACUAGACACAUGGAAGUUGACCUUGAUGAGAUCUGAACUCGGUUUUCAUGGUGUACAAGUGAUUGAGAUUACAAAAUUCCUGCUGAUUGGGACGCCAUCCCGCAACCAUCACAGAAUUGCUUGUUUACAGUUCAGCAGAUGGGAGCAACAUGAAAUGAAGUGUUUUGCCCAAGAACACAAUACAUCAUCCAGUCUAGGAAUUGAAACAAUGAUCUUGAGACUGCGAGUGCAACAUCCUAACCAACAAACCAUGUAACAUUACUCUCUGAGACAAAGGAAUGUAUAAAUAUUGUUAAGGCGCAGGAGUGGCUGUGUGGUAAGAAGCUUGCUAACUAACCACAUGGUUCCGGGUUCAGUCCCACUGUGUGGCAUCUUGGGCAAGUGUCUUCUGCUAUAGCCCCGGGCCGACCAAUGCCUUGUGAGUGGAUUUGGUAGACGGAAACUGAAAGAAGCCUGUCGUAUAUAUGUAUAUAUAUAUAUGUGUGUGUGUUUGUGUGUUUGUGUGUCUGUCCCCCUAGCAUUGCUUGACAACCGAUGCUGGUGUGUUUACGUCCCCGUCACUUAGCGGUUCGGCAAAAUAGACCGAUAGAAUAAGUACUGGGCUUACAAAGAAUAAGUCCGGGGGUCGAUUUGCUCGACUAAAGGUGGUGCUCCAGCAUGGCCGCAAUCAAAUGACUGAAACAAGUAAAUGAGUAAAAGAGCAUUAAUUUGUUGACAUUAGACAUUUUUAUGUUUUCCAAUAUGCACUUCUUUCUGAGGCAAGACAACUCUUGCUAUAUUUCUCAUACCAUGAAUCAUAAAUGGUUAAUAAUUUGUUUCUGAAAAAAGCCUAUGGCCUGAAAUUUGGAAGGAGGGAUAGUAAUGGACAGUAGCAUAAUUGGGGGGAGGGGGCAAGGAAAGAGGAGGCAGUCUGUCCUGGGAAGCACUUUUACGAAGAUAGCAUAGUUGGGUCUGCUGGGUAACUUUGUAUAGGCUAGGAGGCUGGGACAGGAGUGGGGAAAACUCAAGGACCGCUCCUGGUGGCAUGCAGUCUAGCUACACCACUGGUGUCUGAUUGGUACUUUGCCUGUCAUCCUUCCAGAGAUGAUAAAAUGUCGAACUUGAUGGGAUUUGAACUUAGAAUGUAAUGCAAAAAGCCAUAAUCUCUCCUACAUUUUUCUUCAGCCGAGUGAUCCUAAUCUUGUGGACUAGUGGGUACUGGUACCACAUAAAAAGCACCUGUAAAAGCACCCACUGCAGCACCACAUAAAAGAACCUGCUACACUCUGUAAAGUGGUUGGUGUUAGGCAGAGUAUCCAGUUGUAGAAACCAUGCCAAAAGAGACAUGGAGCUUGGUGCAGCUCUCCAGCCAGCUCCUAUCAAACUGUCCAACCCAUGCCAGCAAGGGAAACAGACGUUAAAUGAUAAUUACACCAACCCUAGUAAUAAAGCUAAAGAUUUCUGAUUUAGGCAGUCAUUUUGAGAAGUAGUGAACAGGGUUGGGGGGGGGGGAGAUCAAAUAUAUUGGCCCAAAUAAUUAACUGGUACUUUUAUUUUAUUGACCUCAGAAGGAUGAAAAGCAAACUUGGUGGGAUAUGAACUUAGAAUAUAAAGAACAGGAAGUCAUUCUGCAAAGCAUUUUGUCUGAUGUUCUAAUGAUUCUACUAAUCCAACAUCCUAAUAAUAAUAAUAAUAAUACUAAUCCUUUCUACUUAAAGGCACAAGGCCUGAAAUUUUGGGAUGGUGGCUAGUCAAUUAAAUUAAUCCCAGUGCUCAACUGGUACUUAUUUCAUCAACCUCUAAAAGGUGAAAGGCAAAGUCAACCUUGGUGGAUUUGGAACUCACAAUGUAGUGACAGACGAAAUACUACUAAGCAUUUCAUUUAGUGUGCUAAUGACUGCUAGCUUGCCACCUAAUAAUAAUAAUAAUAAUAAUAAUAAUAAUAAUAAUCCUUUCUACUAAAGGGGGAGGGUUAGGGUUAGUAUUCAACUGGUGUUUAUUUUAUUGAUACCAUAAGGAUGAAAGGGGCAAGUGAACCUUGGUAGAAUUUGAACUCAGAACAUAGCAACUGGUGAAAUACCGCUAAGCAUUUCAUUCAGCGUGCUAACGAUUCUGCCAGCUCACCAUCCUUUCUUCUACAGGCACAAGGCCUGCAAUUUUGGUGGGAGGGAGCUAGUUGAUUACAUCAAGCUCAGAGCUUGACUGGUGCUUGUUUUAUCAACCCUGAAAGGCAAAGUCAAUCUUGGCAGAAUCUGAACUCAGAACAUAAAGACAGAUGAAAUGCCACUAAGCAUUUUGCGCGGCAAGCCAACAAUUCUGCCAGGUCACCACCUUACCAACACCCUAAUGAUAAUAAUAAUAAUUAUUAUUACUUCUUAUUUUGAACUUGACAAAACAGUCGUACUAUUGAAAUAUUGUUCAACUAAUAAAAUAUCUUACAAUCGAAUCGCGCUCUUCAUCUUGACUGUUUACCUUUGUGAAGAGUUACAUCAAUCCUUUUUUAAAAUAUAAUAAUAAUAAUAAUAAUCCUUUCUAAUAUAGGCACUAGCUAGGGCACAACCAAGUAACUUGCAAUACAAAACCCCUCAACUGAGUGGAGGUGGAUCUGUGCUAGGUGUUGAGAGGCUAAGGUAUGAUGGGGGACAGGAGAAGGUGUCUUGUUGUAGAGAUACAUGGCUACACCAACUGGAAAGAGUGGAAAAAAGAAAAAAAAGGGAUGGUGGAGAUGAUGUUUGAGAACAUACCCUCAAAGUACAAGAAGGUGGAUAUAAGAAAGAAUAGGGACUAACGAUGGAGGAUGGAUUGAUGGGUAAUGCAUCAGGUGAAAUCUAAUGAUUUCCCACCUAAAAUUUGUUACAUGUAACAACAAAUUUAUUAUACAUGCACAUACAUAUAUACACAAAUACAUACACACACACACACACACACACACACAAAUGUACACACACACACAUUAUCAUCACUUAAUGCUGGUCUUUCAUGCUGACAUGGGUUGGACAGUUCGAUAAAAUCUGGCAAAUGAGAGGACUGCAUUGUGCUGCAGUGUCUGCUUUGGCGUGGUUUUUAUGGCCAGAUGCCCUUCCAAAUACCAGCCUUUUCCACAGAGUGUACCAAGUGCUUUUGCCAUGGCACCAGCGCUAGUGAAGAUUGCCUUAUAACUUUCAAGACUAAGGACCUAAAGUGGUCCCUAAUACUGAGGAAGGAUAGAAGAGAGAGGGUGUGAUGAUUCUAGGCAGGAUGGAGAGGAAGGUUAAGAUGAAAGGAAAAGAUUCAUAGUUGUGAUAGGGUCAUAGUGGAGACAGCAACAGAGUAGACAUUAUUUGGGGUAGGAAGAAUUGCAGGAACAAGGGAAAAAGAAAGAAUAUAUAUAUAUAUAUACACAUACAUAUAAGUUCAGACAUGGCUGUGUGACAACAAGUUUCUUUCCAACCAAAAGGUUUCAGGUUCAGUCCCACUGCAUGGCACCUUGGGCUAGUGUCUUCUACUAUAGCCAUGGGCUGACCAAACCUUUGUGAGUGGAUUUGGUAGACAGAAACUGAAAGAAGCCCAUUGUGUGUGUGUGUGUUUGUACCCCACCCCUAUCACUCGACAACUGGUGUUGGUGUGUAAGUCCCUAUAACUUAGCAGUUCAGCAACAGUGACUGAUAGAAUAAGUGGCAGGUGUAACAAAAUAAGUAUAGGAGUCAAGUUGUUCGACAAAAAUUCUUCAAGGAGGUGCCCUAGAAUGGUCUCAGUCUAAAACUGGAAAAGAAGUGUGUGUGUGUGUAUAUAUAUAUAUAUAUUCAUACACACAUAUAUAUUCAAACAUAUGCAUAUACAUACAUACAUACACUAACACAUAUACACAGUCACACACACAUGCAUAUGCACAGACACACAUUUCCUCACACUUGUGCAAACAAAUGCACUCACACACAUAUACACACACACAAACCCCCAACCCAUAAUUAUAGUUAACAACAUUUCAUGGAAAAGAUAAGUCUUUGAAUGUUCACUUGAACUAGAUAACCAAAAGUCAUUUCAUUGGAAUAAAAAGAUUUCAUUUCAUUAUGAUUGCUUCAUUAUACACAAGUAGUAACGGUUCAGUAAACAUGAUAAAAUAGUGAUUUAGUAGAUAUGGUGAAAUGCCUGGCUUAUAUAUAUUUUUAUGGCUAGUUUAGUAUCUCAGGUUUCUGUGCUCAAAUUCCCUUUGGGGAUGAUUUUUGCCUUUCAUCUCUCCAGGGUCUUUAAAUAAGUAUUCAAAAUAAUGCACUGAUGGGUUGAUUCAGAUGAAUAAAGAAAUUGCUACAAGGAUUUCUUGUUGCUGUUGAAUAAAAAGAAAGAAAACAAUAAAUGAAAUAUAUAUGUAUAAAAAAAGCAUUGAAUUGUGCAACUUUCUGCUGUCUUCCAUUAAACUAGUCUCUAGAGGGUUGCAUAGAAACUAUAUUACAAUAAACUUCCAUGAAUUCAAUCCCAGUACAAAGUGUGUGUGUGUGUGUGUGUAGGUGCAGUCAUGGCUGUGAGGUUAAGAAGCUCAUUCCUUUCAAGGAAUUGCCCAAGCAUGGCCACAGUCCAUUGACUGAAAUAUACACACACGGGGGAGAGGGAGAGAAAAAGUUACGAAAUUUUCUGCACAAUCAUCAGGUCCUAGGUUUGAUUCCUUCAACAUAACCUCAGAUUUGUUUAGCCUGUGUCCGUCCUGAUCUAGCAAACCAAAAGUCAAAGACGUUCUAUUGUGACUUUUAGGAUACCUAAUACUACAAUGUCCAAUGUAUGAUUUUUUUUUUUAAGGCAGACUGUAUGAUGCAUGUGUACGAACAGCCAUGCUACAUGGCAGUGAAACAUGGGCCGUGACUGCUGAGGACAUGCGUAAGCUCGUGAGAAAUGAAGCUAGUAUGCUCCGUUGGAUGUGUAAUGUCAGUGUUCAUAGUCGACAGAGUGUAAGUACCUUGAGAGAAAAGUUGGACCUAAGAGGAAUCAGAUGUUGUGUGCAAGAGAGACGAUUGCGCUGGUAUGGUCAUGUGGUGAGAAUGGAUGAAGAUAGGUGUGUGAAAAAGUGCCACACCCUGGCAGUUGAGGGGACCUGUGGAAGAGGUAGACCCAGGAAAACCUGGGUCGAGGUGGUGAAGCACGACCUUCGAACUCUAGGUCUCACCAAGGAAAUGACCAGAGACCGAGACCUAUGGAAGUAUGCUGUGCGUGAGAAGACCCGGCAAGACCAGUGAGAACAAUCAAAAUCAAAUCAUAUAUCAGAAAGCAGGGGUUAAGUGUCCGCUGUCAGCCUCGUCUGGCACCCGUGCCGGUGAUACGUAAAAGCACCAUUCGCUCAUGGCCGUUUGCCAGCUCUGCCUGGCCCCGUGUCGGUGGCACGUAAAAGCGCCAUCCGUUCGUGUUCGUUUCCAGCCUCGCCUGGCCCCGUGCCGGUGACACGUAAAAGCACCGUCCGUUCGUGGCCGUUUGCCAGCUCUGUCUGGCAACCGUGUCGGUGGCACGUAAAAGCACCAUCCGUUCGCAUCCGUUGCCAGCCUCGGCUGGCCCCCGUGCCGGUGACACGUAAAAGCACCGUCCGUUCGUGGCCGGUUGCCAGCUCUGUCUGGCCCCGUGUCGGUGGCACGUAAAAGCACCAUUCGUUCAUGCCCGUUGCCAGCAUCGCCUGGCCCCGUGCCGGUGACACGUAAAAGCACCAUCCGUUCGUGGCCGUUCGCCAGCUCUGUCUGGCACCUGUGCAGGUGGCACGUAAAAAACACCCACUACACUCGCGGAGUGGUUGGCGUUAGGAAGGGCAUCCAGCCGUAGAAACACUGCCAGAUCUGACUGGGCCUGACGAAGCCUUCCAGCUUCACAGGCCCCAGUUGACCCGUCCAACCCAUGCUAGCAUGGAAAACGGACGCUAAACGAUGAUGAUGAUGAUGAUGAUGGGUUGUGACUUGAGAGAUACUUGACUGCUGUUUCUAGCAAGUUGAGUGACCACUUAUAGCUUCCCUUGUUAGAGUACUGGAUUUUGUGACACAGUUUGCAAGUUCGAAUUAACUGCAGAAGGCAUUUUUAUGUGCAGAGUACUUCAUCUUACAUUGCACAGUAGUUGUAAAUGAAUGCCACAAUCAUGCAAUUGGUGUUCAUUUCCAAUCUUCUCUAGGGACAUGUCCAGCCAUGGAGAAAAGUAUCCAGCUUGGAAAGGAGUGAGUGUUGGCAACAGGAAAGGUAUCCAGCUGUAAAAAAUCUGCUCCAUCAUAUUUCAUCUGACCCAUGCAAGCAUGGGAAGGUGGACGUUAAAAAAGAAAAAAAAUGAUGGGAGACAACAACAUUGAAAAAUGACGAUAAUGAUGAAAAAUGACAUGGAAAAAUGGCAAUGGAAAGCUAUGAUGUUGAAAACUAACAACGAUGAGGAAAAACAAUGAAAAGCUAACUAUGAUGAAAACCGAUGAUGAUGAUGAUGAAAAAUGGCAAUGAUGAAAGAGGACAACAAUGAGGGAAAAUGACAAUGAUGAAAAGUGAUGAUGAUACUGAGUGUGCAAAAUAUGAAAGCUAGAUAUAAUGUGAUGAUGUAUUAGUAUCAGAUCCUGAACAAUGAACCAUUGAUUUCAAUCUCAUGAUGACUCUCAUCUAUUUCUUCAGCAUCACGCAUAAUUUCAAUUUCAGUAAUUGUUUACUAUGUUGAAGAAAAUAUCUCAAAGCUUUUAAAUUAAACCAUGACAACUCGAUGAAUGCUAAAAAGAUGCUGAUAAAAAUCUCUACAGUCUCUGAAUUUCAUGUGAAUGAAAUUUUGUAUAAAAUUAACAGUCAACAAAUCUAAUAGCCAGACAGUAUUGGCAAUUGUUCAAGACAUUUAUAAAUCUAUAUAUUUCUGCACUUUCUACUACUUACAUAGUUCUAAUGGAGAAAUCCUAAAUGUCGGCAACAUCUGAAAGAAAACCACCUGCUCAUGUCAUUUGCUACUCUCAAAAAUCAAAUCAACAACAAUUGUAUAUGUAUAUAUAUAAAGAAAAUCUUUUAAAGAGAGUUAAAUAUUUGACUUGUUCCUGUAGAGGAACAAAGAGAAAAUUUAACACUUCAGAUGUAAUUUAUAACACAAUAACACACUGCAUUAAACCUUUUUAACACCAAUCCAUUUGAGAUGCUCUGAAUUAAAGUGUUCAUACUUUAAUUAAAUUAUUGGUUAAUGUUUUAUAACAUAAAUGAUGAGAUGAAAUUCCAGCUAUUCAGAAGUAGAAUAGCACCAGUUUAAUGUCAGUUUCUUCAUGCUCGCAUGGAUCAAAUGAAAUCUGUUGAUGCAGGUUUUCUAUGGUUGGAUGCUCUCCCAGGUGCUAACAUUUAUUUGUCUCCAAGUAAAGGAAUAUUUUCUCAGAGUCUUUUCAACACAAGUAGCACAAUGUCAGAUACAAUUUUUCAUGGAAGAUUGCAAACAAACGACAUUGCUUGUAUGAUGGUGACAUUUAUCUACAGUUAGCAUGGAAUGUCAAGACAAGGAGACAUGAGCAUCUGCGCGCACACACACACACAUUUUAGAUUUCUUUCAGUUUCUUAUUUCUUUAUUGCCCACAAGGGGCUAAACAUAGAGGGGACAAACAAGGACAGACAAAGGGAUUAAGUCGAUUACAUUGACCCCAGUGCGUAACUAGUACUUAUUUAAUCGACCCCGAAAGGAUGAAAGGCUAAGUCGACCUCGGCAGAAUUUGAACUCAGAAUGUAGCAGCAGACGAAAUACCACCAAGCAUUUCGUCCAGCAUGCUAACGUUUCUGCCAGCUUGCCACUUUUCUUUCAGUGUCUGUCAACCAACUGCACUCAUAAGACUUUGGUCAGCCCAGGGUUACAGUAGAUGUCAUUUGCCUGAGGUGCCAUGCGGUGGGACUGAACUUGAAAGCACAUGAUGCUGAAGUUAACUUCUUAAUCACACAGUCAUAUACCACAGAAAUGUAAAAAAAUAAGGCUGGAAUGUCUAGUGGUGGUUGGUAUCAGCCAGAUUAUACAGAGAAGUUUCUAAGUUCAGAUAACUUUGUGAGGAGAAGAGUAAUCUGACAUGAUUCUUUUGACUGAUUUGAAAGAAAAGAGAUUUUCCAAUCUCCAGCAUACAAACUUAUAGAGUCUUAUUUGUUAUAGUCAUGUUUUGGUUGUUAUAUCCUCUAGCCUUCUUCAUAUGCUUGUUUUAUUUGGUAGCAUUCUUGGAAUUUUAAACCAAAUCUUUUAUUAAAUUCAUGGCAGCAGAUUGCUCUCAUUCUGUUGUCUAUAUAUCAGAUACCUUGUUAGUUAUUCUAGUUGUGAUGUAGUUUGUUCAUUCCACUGAUCGUAUGUGUGGGGGGAGGGGUGUAUUUCAAUUGAUCAAAAUAUAAACUCUGUAAUGUCCAUUUUGCCCUGAAGAUCUUACACCCAGGCUAUUCAAAAUGCAAAAUUAUAUCAUUACAUAAUUGUAAUUUAAAUUGUAAUUUAAACUGGGUACAAAGUGAAACGAUUGUAGGCAAUGUAAAAUAAUUAAUAAAUUAAUUUAUAACCAUUGAAUCUCUCCAUUUUCAAACUAAUUAAUAAUAUUUGAUGUUUUUUAUAUAUAUAUAUAUAUAUAUAUAUAUAUAUAUAUAUAUAUAUAUAUAUAUCACUAUACUGGCAAGACUAUCAGAAGUUUUUAUAUAGAAGUCCCAGAAAUCUCAUGGGCUGACAGACCAGAAAUCUCGUGGGCAGAAGGCCCAGAAAUCUCAUGGGUAGACAGCCCAGAAAUCUUGUGGGUAGAAAGCUCAGAAAGCUCAUGAAUAAAAUGAGCUGUAUAGGUCACAUACCCUUCCUCCUGAAACCAUAAGAAAGUUUCUUUUUUUUAUUUCAGUUAUAGCUUUUCACUUUAAUAAUAUAAUUUCUUUUUAUUUUCAAGAAAAGUAUCAAUGUUACACAUACAUUUUAUUUAUGAAUCUGUAAAUUUAUGACUUUGAACCAUUUAAAAGUCAAAAUUGAUUAUUUAUAACACUUAGUUGUAAAGGAAAAUAAAUCAAAAAGAAAUCUGAGUAAUAAAGAUUUCUAAAAGUCUUCUCAAGUAGAGUGUGACCAAAGAUUUUAUUAUCUUCCCUCCCAGUUGAUAUCUUUAUUUAUUUAAUUUUACUUGUAGUACAUUCAUAAAUAUAUAAAUAAAUAAAGGAUGGUGGUGGGGGAAAUAGGAAUGAACACAUAAAUUCAAAUAAUAUUAUGAUACAAUAUUUUAAAGUAUCAUUAAAUCCACAAAAUUUAUUUUCACCACAGAAGAAGGAUAAUUAAGAAAAACCAGUUCUAAUAGGUUAGGGACAUUGAUGUUUUAAAUAUGUAGAGCAUCUAAGUAACCCUUUUGAUACCAACCUACCUGAGACUGACUUUGCUUCUGUGAUACAAACUUCAUGUUUUAAAGAGAUCUAAAUGAAAAGCAUCUAUCAAGGUUUUAUGUUAAUUUAUGUUCUGAACAUCAGCUUAUUUAACGCCAAAGUAAUUAUGAUUAACUCUUUAUUAUUCUUUGUAAGCCUAGUACUUAUUCUAUCGGUCUCUUUUGCCGAACCACUAAGUUACGGGGACGUAAACACACCAGCAUCGGUUGUCAAGCGAUGUUGGGGGACAGACACACAAAUACACACACAUAUAUACACAUAUAUACGACAGGCUUCUUUCAGUUGCCAUCUACCAAAUCCACUAACAAGGCUUUGGUUGGCCCGAAGCUAUAGUAGAAGACACUUGCCCAAGGUGCCAUGCAGUGGGACAGAACCCGGAACCAUGUGGUUGGUAAGCAAGCUACUUACCACACAGCCACUCCUGCACCUAUGUUGUUAAUAAUAAUGACAAUAAUACUAACUUCUUGACCCAUUAGCAUUUGAACUAGCCAUAUACAGCCCAAAAUGUUCUACAUGUUUUAUGUUCAAACUGACCAGAUCAGGCCUCUCACACCUACCCAACAAUGCCAUUCAAAUCAUAAACAAUCACAUCAUCAAAAUCUCAAAAUAUGAGAUAAUGCAGGAUUAAUUUAAAACAAUAAGAAUGUGUAAUACAUUUGACAGAAUCAUCUGAACGCUUCAGGGUUAAACUGAUACUUUGUUAAAGGAAGACAUAAAAAGACAACUGAACCAAGUCAAAUGCAAAACAGGUAUUAUAUUUUUGCAUUUAGUCAGAAGGUUGUACUCACAACCUUUGCAAGCCUCCAAGAUUUGAAAACAAGCAACAGUGCCUAAAAAUACCAGUCUACAACAGAACCAUUCAAACUACUUUCAAUUAAAUAUUUCCUUAUAUAUUCACACUUUUUUUUACACACUUCCUGCCUCUUACUUUAGGCGGGGCAGCAGCUGUGGGCUUGAAAGAAGGUAAAUAUUGAUUCGACUUCCACAAAGAGACACAGCGCUUUAUAUUUAUGAGGAAGUGUAAAUAUAGACGGAGGAAUAUAAACAGAAGAAGACAAACAGAACUUGAGAUUGAAACCUGGUUGCUCAGUCAACUAGCAUGCCUGGAAAUAAACUCUACCAGGUGUGGCAGGUUGUGGUAUAAAGUGAGGUUGAUAAUUCAGAAGAACAGAAGCAUUUGAUUUAAAUAUAGUAUCAUACUAUACAAACAUAGCACACAUUAUUUUUACCUCAUUAUAAAUCAUUAUACAAGCUUAAAAACAUGUUUCAGUAAGCUUGGUAUGCAACUAGGUGGAAUCAAAUGUUUCGAUUGGUUCAAAUUGCAUCCUUUGAAUAGCUUCUUGCAUUUAAAAUGAUUGAUUCUGAUUGGAUGCAGCUGUGUGGUUAACCCUUUUGUUACCAUAUUUCUGUUGAAAUGCUCUGUGUUUCUUUCAAUUAAUUUUAAAUAUAACAAAGAAUUUAGUAAAAUAACUUAGUUAUCAUUAAGCUAGUGUUAGGAAUACAAAUUGUGACAAAGGUUUGGUGGAAGAUUUUAAUUCAGAACUUUUAAAAACAAGGCAUUUGUACUACAGAGUCAGUGGCAGUUUCAGGUGGGUUAUUAUCAAAAGGGUUAAGUAGUUUUCUUCCCAAUUAUGUGGUUUUGGGUUCAGUCCCACUGUGUGACAUCUAGGGCAAGUGUCUUCUUUAUAGCCCAGAGCCAACCAAAGUCUUGUGAGUGGAUUUGGUAGAUGGAAAUUGAAAGAAGCCUGUCAUACACAUAUUCACAAUAUGUAUGUGUAUAUAUAUAUAUAUAUAUAUAUAUAUUAAAAACAAGGAUAAGAUCUAUAUAAGAAUUUAUCAAGUAGCCAGCAUGAAAAACCAGUAAAGGGAAAAAAAUUAUACAAAAAAUAUAUAAUUAUUCCCUUUAAAUAUAAAUACAUUCAUUAUAUUAAGGGUUAUUACUGAAUGUGUGUGUGUGUGAGUACAUAAUGUGAGGUUUUGUGUGUGUAGGUGUGUAGGUGCAUGUAUGGUAGCUAAGGAGUGAAAUUGUUGGAUUGCUGACCCAAAAGUCGUGAGCUGUUGCAUUGCUAUUAAACACUGCUUGGUAUAAAGUUGGCCCAGUGCCUCAUCCAAACAGACAUUAGUAGCUAGGUUGAAGAGUCAAGGAUUUCAGUGACUACAUUACUUUGGCAACCUUCAAACAAGCAAAUAGGGAGAGUAACUUGAACUUUACCUCGUGUAAAAAUGAAUUCUCUCCACUAGACUUAAUGUCCAUCAUGAUCAUCAUUAUUAUCAUAAAAAACAUUAUUAUUAUUAAAAAUUAACUCGUUAAAGGUGGUGAGGGUCAAAGUCACUUGUUAAUCACAUCAGGAACAAUUUAAGUAUCGGUCAUCAAAUACUGGGGUUAAUUAAACCAACUACAUCCUUUUCCAAAAUGUGACCCUGAGCCAAUGUCAUAAGUUAUCGGAUGGGGUCAAAGUUAGCUGUUCAUCAUUCAGGGGUCAAAUAACUAAAUAUCAAUUGCGUACUGAAGUACAUUAAAAUCACAUACAACCUUCCACAAAAUGGCCUUGUGCCAAUCUCAGAAAUUAAAAGUUAUAGGAAAAUAUAAACAAUUUGGGUGUUUUAUGCCCACUUCUUUCUUUCUUUUACAAGGGCUUAAAUAAAGGGCUACUCAAAAAGCUAAGUUCAGUAUCCUUAAUGCGAAGAAUUCUCUAGCUAUGACAAUCAGCCAAUGAAUCUGUGAGCUUAUUUCAUAUGAUAAAUCUUCAGAUUUUGCUUCAGAAUGAAUAUUGCUCUAGCAGUGCAUCAACAGGAUGUUUAUCAUUGACAAACUGGCUUUGGGAACAUGUCAAAAUCAAUGCAUGUAUAUCUAUUUCUUUAUUGCCCUCAGGGGGCUAAACAUAGAGGGGACAAACAAAGACAGAGAAAGGGAUUAAGUCAAUUACAUUGACCCCAGUGCGUAAACUGGUACUUAUUUAAUUGAUCCUGAAAGGAUGAAUGGCAAAGUCGACCUUGGUGGAAUUUGAACUCAGAACAUAACGGCAGACAAACUACCGCUAAGCAUUUCACCCGGCAUGCUAACGUUUCAGCCAGCUCACCGCCCUAAUACAUACAUAUAUAUCAUCAUCAUCGUUGUUUAACAUUCUUUUUCCAUGUUGGCAUGGGUUGGAUGGUUUUGACAGGAGCUGAAGAGACAGAAAGACUGCACCUAGCUCCAAUAUCUGCUUUGGCAUGGUCUCUCCAUUGGAUGACCUUCCUGAUGCUAACCAUUUUACAGAGUGUACUGAGUAGUUUUUACAUGGUACCAGCACUGCACCUCCAUGCAUGUGUGUGCAUCUGAGAAAAAGCAAGCAAAUCGAAACUUUGAAGUCACUGUCAACGUUUUCCUUCUAAAUGUUUAAUAAGCAUGUAUUGAGUUAUCCUUCAGUUUAAUGUUAAUCUGUUUUUAUAUAUAUAACUUGACAUAAAAACAAAUCUUUAUAUAAAAAUAAAGAACAGACUUCUGCACAGUUUCUGCAUACUAAAUUUCAGUCAUAACAUCAUCAUCAUCGUUUAAUGUCCACUUUCCAUGCUAGCAUGGGUUGGGCGUUUUGACUGAGGUCUGGCGAACCAGAUGGCUGCACCAGGCUCCAAUCUGAUCUGGCAGAGUUUCUACAGCUGGAUGCCCAUCCUAACGCCAACCACUCCAAGAGUGUAGUGGGUGCUUUUAUGUGCCACUGGCAUGAGGGCCAGUCAGGCGGUACUGGCAACGGCCAUGCUCAAAUGGUGCUUUUUAUGUGCCACCUGCACAGUCCAGUGGCACUGACAACGACCUCGCGAAUGUGUUCAGUCAUAACACAUUAGUUAAACAAAAUCUAUGAAAGGCACGAGAUGUCACACAAGAUCAGACUUGGAACCAUAUGGUUUUGAAACAAACUUCUAAACCUCACAGCCAUACCAGAUGUUUCAGUGAGUCAAUUUAUUAAAACAUUUUUGUCACCAACCCAUUAGGAGAUUACCUUCUGUUGUUACAAAACAGUCCAUUUUGGAAUAUUCCUAUCAAAAUCGAAACCUGUCAUAAUUUUAGAUAAGAAUCAUUUCAGAUAUGUUCCAAAUACAAUUUUAAUCCUGAACUCUUUUAGCAGUCAAAUUAUUCAGUUAAAUGUAAUGCUUAUUUAUUCACAUUGUUUUGAAUUAAUCCAUGAAUUCUUUUAUAUUCUUUUACUCUUUUACUUGUUUCACUCAUGUGACUGUGGCCAUACUGGAGCACUGCCUUUAGUUGAGCAAAUCGACCCCAGGACUUAUUCUUUGUAAGACUAGUACUUAUUCUAUUGGUCUCUAUUGCCAAACCACUAAGUUAUGGGGACGUAAACACACCAGCAUCAGUUGUCAAGCAAUGUUGGGGGGGGGACAAACACAGACACACACAUACAUAUAUACAAACAGGCUUCUUUUCAGUUUCCAUCUACCAAAUCCUCUAACAAGGCUCGUCCUGAGGCUAUAGUAGAAGACACUUGUCCAAGGUGCCAUACAGUGGGAUUGAACCCAGAACCAUGUGGUUCGUAAGCAAGCUACUUACCACACAGCCACUCCUACGCCUAUACCUUUAAGAUUUCAGUUACAUGAUUGCUUAUUUUCAGAAUAACAUUGUAAGGUAGGUGUGAGGGGCUGAAUCUGGCUGGUUUGAACAUAAAAUAUGGUAGUAUAUUCAGGCUGGAUAUGGCCAGUUUAUAUUCUAAAGUGUUAAAGUACACUACUUAAUAUUGCAAUAGGUUACUUUAACAAAUAUAUAUAUAUAUAUUGUGGAAAUUAACAUUUUAAAAAUCACAUGACAAUGAGAAUCACUUACUGCCAACGUUUGUCUAUUAAUACAUUUUCAGCAAAUUGCUUACUGACAAUUCCCAGUCUAAAAAGGUUGUAAAUCCCUCCAAAUUCUCCAAUUUUUUUUCUUUCUUAUAACUGAAAACCCAUCAGUUGUGUAUUUCAACAGCAAAAUAAUCAUGAAAAGGUUAAAAGAAAGCUCAAUAUUCAAUAUACUCACAAAAUAGAUAUUUUAAACUGGUGGAAAGGCUCCAGCUUGGGAGUAGGUGUUUUAGGAUGAAUAGAAUUACUCUUUUAGUCCCCACCACCACCACCACCACUAUUCUCAGGUUCAUUCUGGCCCAAAGUGGGGGUAUUUCUUGCUGACUCUAGUUAUGGGUCAAAUAGAUGAUCCUGUGGCUGAGGGAUUCAAAACUUAGAAGAGAGAUAGCCCCUUGACUAGACUCACACAAGCCCAUUCGUAUCUGAACAUGUUCUGAUGUCAGAUAAACUAGUCCCCCUACUUAAGGGUAAGCUUGGAGGGCAAGACAUUAGCAGAGUAAACAGGAAAUAAACAAGCAGAACACAAUGGGGAAACUACUGUUGUGUCUUUCCCAAGAAAGAUCAUGAAUCUUUAGGCUUUGGUCCAUGAUCACCAACACUUGUAGGCAUGGCACCUGGAGAGAGAGGAGCAGUGAGAGAGAGAGAGAGAGAGUCUAUAAAGUGUCUAUAGUGACCCAAUAAAAUUUUACUGAUUUCUAUUUUUGGAUUGCUGCCAAGCAGGACACCCACUUCAAGUUAAUCCCAUAUCAACCAAAGCACCUCUUUCUGUCUGUUACAUAGUUUAUCGGUCUGUAUUCACCUCAAACCACAGAGUUACGGCACAUACAGCAAUAAGACAAAAAAAAACAUCAUGAUGUAUACAUAAACACAAAUCUACAUAGCAACUAAGGGUUUCAGAAACACACAUGCACCUAAGCACCUAAUGGAAUUUUCUCACAUCACUCAAGAUAUCACUGGCUUAAACCUUUAUGAGUCCACCCUCUCCUAGUCAUCCUCCCUCUCAUCUUCCCACAUCACUUUCUAAGAAUUUAGUAGCUUACUUUCUUUUCUUCAUAUAUUCAUUUUUUUCAUAUAAAAAUGUUAGCUCUGAAAUUUGUCAUCCAGCUGAGCUAAGGGAAACAACUCAGUAGCUUAGAAGUAAAUUAUCUUUCUAUGUUGCACAUAGCAGGAAACAGAACGUUCCUGAAAUGGCCUCUUGAAGAACUAAAUGGGUAUUUUGUUCCCUGAUGAUCAUCUGGUUGUUUGUCAUGAAUAUUUCCCUCAGAGAUAUGAUGUAACAAUUUCAUGUCACUCCAAGUUAGAGUAUCACCAGUCCUGCAGAUUGUAUAAAUCAUAUCCUUCACACUCUGUAUUUGAGUUCUCUCUACCCCAAGUUAUUCAGAAUACAAUGUGUGUGUGUGGGGGGGUAAGAGGUUUGCUUCCCAACCACACGGUUCCAGGUUCAGUCCUAUUGCAUGGCAUCUUUGGCGAGUGUCUUCUAUAGCUUCAGGUAUACUGAAGUCUUGUAAGUGGAGUUGGUAGGUGGAAACCGAAAGAAGCCUGUUGUGUAUGUAUGUGUGUGUGUUUGUCCCCCCACUACCACCACUUAACCAGUGUUGGUGUGUUUAUGUUCCCAUAACUUAACGGUUCAGCAAAAGAGCCAAUAAAAUAAGUACCAAGCAUAAAAAAGUACUGGGGUCGAUUCAGUCAACUAAACAUUCUUAAAGGCAGUGCCCCAGCAUGGUCACAGUUUAAUGGCUUUAAGUAAAAGAUAGAACACAAAAGAUAUAUGUAUGGCAGGAGAUGAAAUCAUGUGGCCUUGUGGUCAGGGUAUAAGGCUCAUAAACUUAACGUUGUGGGUUUCAGUUCCUGAACCAGGUAGCAUGUUGCACACCUGAGCAGAACACUUAUUUUCCUGUUGCCCCAAACUAUUCAGCUGAAAAUAAGGACCAGCUAAGCUCUGGUGCAGACCUCACUUCCUUCAGCUGUCACACCCUUGAUGCUCUGCUGAGUCAAGGCUGAGAAAGCUCUGUACAUGUCUAUUUCUACUCAUGACUACACAGGCAUCUGAAACAAUUAGUGAAACUAUGGUACAUGCUUCCAAACCAUACUCACUUGCGAAUGAUGUUUAUGAUGUUAUGAGUUUAGCCAAAUGGUCAUGACUUUUAGCAGUCCAUAUACAAGUGGGUAAAACUUGUGGCAGAGGGAGACCCAGGAAGACAUAGAAUUAAAUAUUGAAGGCAGAUCUCAAGACACUGAAGCUUACAAAGAGGAUGACAAAGGACAAAGAUAUCUGAUGCCUAGCUGUAUCCAAGAAGACCCAUCUACUACAGCAAAAUUGACACUGGUUCUAGUGCCACAUAAAAAGCACCCAGUUAGGAAGAGCUUCCAGCCAUAGAAUCCAUGCCAAAACAGACAAUGGAGCCUGGUUCAGCCCUUGGCCUUACCAGCUCCAGUUAAACUAUCCAACCCAUGCCAGCAUGAAAAACAGACAUUAAAUGAUGAUAUACAUAAUGUGUGUGUGUGUGUUUGUUUGUUCAGCAGUAUCAGUGUUUAUGCAUAAGCAAACUUUAGGCUAGCUAAAAUAUGUUUGUGACACAUUUCAACUUCUAAAGACAAAUUAACAGUUAUCUUGGAGGGGAAAAAAAAACAACUUAUUCUUUUAUUUCUGUAAGUCAUUUGACUGUGGCCAUGCUGGAGCACUGCCUUUAGUUGAACAAAUCAAUACCGGGAUUUAUUGUUUUCAAGCCUAGUACUUAUUGUAUUGGUCUCUUUUGCUGAACCGCUAAGUUUCAGGGAUGUAAACAUACCAACAUCGGGUACAAACACACACACACACACAUAUAUAUAUAUAUAUAUAUAUAUAGGGCUUCUUUCAGUUUUCCGUCUACCAAAUCCACUCACAAGGCUUUGGUUAGCCUGAGGCUAUAGUAGAAGACACUUGCCCAAGGUGCCACGCAGUGGGACUGAACCCAGAACCAUGUGGGUGAGAAGCAAUAUAUACAUUGCAUGUGUGUGUGAAUUGGUAUGCAUGCAUGUGUGCACCUAUGUGUUUGCAUGUAUGUGAAUGAGUAUGCAUGUAUGUGUGUGUGUCUGAGUGUGUGUGUGUGUGUGUGUGUGAAUGUGUACACAUGCAUGUGUGGGUGUGAAUGAGCAUACCACCCCACAACUAUUUUGUUUCUUUCUCAUUCUUUGAAACUAACAUAUGUAUGAAGACAAUGCAUCAUUAUUAUUAUUAUUAUUAUUAUUAUGUUUGCGUUUUUAAUUGGAAAACUGUAUUUAUCUAGAAGGUCACAAUGCUAGGUUGGUAUGGAAACCUACCUUGUCACAAUUAUAUAACAUCUAAAAAAUAAAAAAAAAAAUAAUCAAAUAGUCUUAAGCUUGUUGCUACAAAAGAAACCAAUAUCUUGCUGGCUAUCAAACUACAGAUUAUUAUCAGCAGCAGCACUGACUUCUGAAUUCUGUCUCUUGGAAUUAUUAAAGGCCAAUCAAUUCACAUAACCAGUGACUAGGUCAGUCAAGACAAACAUAACUUGGAUUUUCUUUUUUUUUCUUAAGGUACCAACAACAAUUGGUAACAAGACACUGUUAGUUUACUCUUUACUUGUUUCAGUCAUUUGACUGUGGCCAUGCUGGAGCACCGCCUUUAGUCGAGCAAACUGACCCCAGGACUUAUUAUGUAAGCCUAGUACUUAUUCUAUCGGUAUCUUUUGCUGAACCACUAACUUAUGGGGACGUAAACACACCAGCAUUGGUUGUCAAGCAAUGUUGGGUGUGUGUGGGAAAACAGAGACACACACACAUAUAUAUAUAUAUAUAUAUAUAUAUAUAUACACACACACACACACACACACACACACACACACACACACACACACACACACACACACACACACACACACACACACACACAUAUAUAUAUGACGGGCUUCUUUCAGUUUCCGUCUACCAAAUCCAUUCACAAGGCUUUGGUCAGCCUGAGGCUAUAGUAGAAGACACUUGCCUAAGGUGUCACACAGUGGGACUGAAGCCGGAACCAUGUAGUUGGUAAGCAAGCUACUUACCACACAGCCACUCCUACGCCUAUGUUUGAUAAUAAAAAUAAUUUUUGGGGGGUUGGUAAAUAUAUCAAAUUUUCUUCAAAGAUUUUGUUGUUUGCUACCAUUUCAACACUGUUCCAUUUUAGAACAGGGUAAAAAAGGAAAAAAAAAAAAACUUGACAUUUAUGGUGAAGUGGUAGAAUUGUUAGUUGUUUCCCAAACUGGUAUGGAGGAGGAAACUUGACAGGAACAGGCAAGCCAGAGGACUGCUUCAGGCUCAAAUGUCUGUUUUGGCCUGGUUUCUAUAGCUGGAUGGAUGCCCUUCCUGACCCUAACCCAACCAUUUUAUGGAGUGCACUGAGUACUUUUUUUAUGACACUGGCAAUAUAUGAAAAACUGAAAUUUGAACUCAAAAGAGUAAAAUGUGAAAAACUAAAAACUAAAAAAAAAAAAAGAGGAAAAAAAAAGGAAAUAAUUUGAACUGCUAUUGAUCAUAUAAUUAAUAUAAUUUGAAACCAAACUGAUAAUAUAAUUUGAAUCUAAAUUGAUAAAAUAAUUUGAUUCUAAAUGAAAAAAUUAUUUGAGUUCAAAUUAGUAAAAUUAUUUUUUCUUUAAAUUGAAUUAUAGAUUUCAAUUUGAAUUUUGAUUUCAGAUUUUUCCACCCACAUGGUUCAUGAAAUGAUCACAUCGUUGUUUUAAACUUCCUUGAUUACAGAACUAAUUUAAUCAUUUUAAUUGGCACAGAAACCUAAUAGUAGUAUUGAUUUACAAUAUUGGCACAGGAUCACACAGUUUUAGGAGAGACGGAGUGGGAAUAUAGGGUACUCAUGCCUUUACAUAGGAUUAUCAGUGAUGGGGAAAUGGCUACAACCAGGAAUUAAAAGACAUGUCGCAGACUCGGUUCACUGUCAAGUUAAUGGUAGGUUUUAAUACACAAAUACAAGAUUAUUGAAAGCAAAUCCACAUACACACACACACAAAUCUACAAUUAUAUAUAUAUAUAUAUAUAUUUCUUUACUACCCACAAGGGGCUAAAUAUAGAGGGGACAAACAAGGACAGACAAAUGGAUUAAGUCGAUUACAUCGACCCCAGUGCGAAACUGGUACUUUAUUUAUCUACCCGAAAGGAUGGAAGGCAAAGUCUACCUCGGCGGAAUUUGAACUCAGAACAUAACGUCAGACGAAAUACCGCUAAGCAUUUCGCCCGGGGCGCUAACGUUUCUGCCAGCUCGCCGCCUUAAUAUAUAUAUAUAUAUAUAUAUAUAUACACAUGCAUGUAUACAGAUACAAAGAAAGCCAAAUGGUUAUAUGGAAAUGUACAAACAUAUGUACAUGUUCAUAUUUAAGAUGAUCUAAUUUUCUGUGAGCAAUGUCAGAUAAUGACACAAGAUAUUAAAACAUGGGUGAAUAAUAUAUCUAUCUGAUGUAGUCUUCAGUGUAAUGCAGCUUACAACAAAACUGAUCUGAUCAUAAGCUAAGCUAAUUAUAUUAUCGUUAAUUAAAUAAAAAAGCGAGACAAGUAACAGAUUUUGUUUUUUCCAUUUCUUUUUUAGAAGAUUACCAAUUUACUGAAUUAUAUACACAGCUUUCCAUUAUGGAAUCCUGACAGAGCUUGUUCUUAUCAAGAAAGCUAUCUACUGACAGAGAAUGUUCUUAUCAGAAACACCAUCUUUUCUGUGGUGCAAAAGUCAGGUGUAUGUAUGUGGCAGAAGAGUAGGUUUGAGUGCUUCAAUGAUAGCGACUUGCUAGAAAUGACAGCAAAAUCACCCUCAUAUCUCGAUCUUUCAUCUUGAAGAUAGUGAAGAUGUAGAUAAAUUGAGAUGGGAGGGGCAUGGCUGGAAUUCUUUUGAUUCUAGAUCUGCUUGACUGAGGUUGACCUAGGACUGAGCAACAACAUACAUAGUCAUAAGCAAGUGAUGGUUGCUUCACAUCUAAAAAUAAUAGCUAAAUUUCCCUUGUGUCAGUCCCUAAUGUCUAUUAAAAAAACAAAAGGAAGAACACAUUGAAUAUUGUAGUCUUAGAUAGACUAUAACUAAAAGAAAUGGGGAAGAGUUAUGGCUUGAAUGCCUUUGAUACACAAGUAUUUUCAAUACAAACUUCUUCCUUCAAAUAAAAUGAAGAAGAGAAACACAGACCAGGUCCAUAAUUACAUGACAAGAUUUCAAUACUUAGUAAUAUAAUACUAUUACAAGAUAUGAAACGCGAAUACAACAGUGUACAUAGGCUUGUAAUAACUGUAAUGGCUAUAAUUGUCUCAGUCUCAAUACAAGAAGUAAGAUGACAUCGUUUUCCAAACAAAUGCAAAUCAAUUUAUCUAUCUAUCCGACAGAGAAAGAGAGAGAGACAGAGGGAGAGAGACAAAUAGACAAACAGAGAGAGAGAGAGUGAGACAAAGAGAGAGAGACAGACAGACAGACAGAUAGACAGAGACACAGACAGAUACACAGACACACAUACACACAGAGUCAAGCAUAUACUGCUCAAUAUAUGAAGUGGCUGGUGUCUGAAGGAAGACAACUUAGGAUGAAGAGAAUGUGACAACUUCUUCAAUGUUGGUGCCACAACUCAAUAAGCCCACCACACUCUGAGUGAAGUGGUUGAUGUUAACAAAUUAUAAAGGAAUUUAUACAAGCAUAUACACAAAUGUAUAUAAAUUUAAUGGGGAAAAAUAAUGUGCAGUGUGUCUAUGUAUCUGUGUGUGUAUGUGUAUGUUUAAGUGCAAGCAUAUAUGUGUUGUGUUUGUGUGCAUAUCUUUUACUGGUUACAAUCAUUGGACUGCAGCCAUUCUGGAAUACCACCUUCAAAGUGAUAGUUGAUCAUACUGCCACUAAGUUACAGGUUAUAAAGGGACAAAAGACAAACAAUGACAUCUCUUUUUCUCAGACUGAUGUAAACAUAGAAACAGACACAGGUACACACACACACACACACACACACACACACACACACACACACACACACACUUCUUAAAUGUUUUCCACUGACCAAAUUCCACUCACAAGGCAAUUGAUCAACCCAAUGCCAUGCACUAGAGACAAACCCAGAUCUACAGAGUUGCAAAAUAAACUCCUUAACCACCACAGUGCCAGGCUUGCACUUUCCUCUUUCUACACACACACACACACACAAAUGGUUUGAUUCAUAUCUCCAGAUCCUGUCAGUAUCAAAAAAGAAAACAAAAACAAAAGGCAUUAAUGCAAGGAGAAAGUGUCUAAGUCUCAGAAAAUCUUUAGUUUGUGUUCAUUGGUGAAUUGUCAGGAUCCACUUGCAUUGACAGUCAAUCAGAGACACAAGCAUAAUACUGUGGUAUCAAUGUAACGCUUAUACUUAUUCAAAAACACACACAUGCAUGAUAAGUUCCAAUACAGACUCGAGGCAGACAGGUUCCACGAAAAAGUUUUCUAACAAAAAUUAUCAACUGAAAGGAUCUAAAUAUUAUUCCAUAAUAGCAUUCAUAACCCACUGGGUGAGAAGAUUACUUCAUAAUCACAAAUCACAUCCCUGUAUCUUUAUUGCUGUAGCUGAUAGCUAAAAUCUGGUGCAAACUGAAGAUAAGGCAAAUGUACUUAUAUGUAUACAUCAUAUAUAUAUAUAUAAUAUACAUAUAAAUGCAUACACACAUUAAUAUACAUAUACAUAUAUAUAUAUAUAUAUAUAUAUAUAUAUACAUAUACAUACAUAUAUAUAAAUAUACAUACGUAUAUAUAAAUACAAAUACAUAUAUACAUACAUGUAGAUACACAAACAUGGAUGGAUGGAUGGGUGGGUAGAUAGAUAGAUAGAUAGAUAAUUUGCUCACACAUUCACUUACUUACAUACAUAGCAAACUUCAUAGAUAUUAAUAUUAUGCUUCUCAUGUCUGAAGGCAGGUUUCCCAAUAUUCAAAUUUGGAUAAUUCCUCUCUUUCUUUAUGCUUAUAACAAAAGACUGCAACCAUCUAAUGCUCUCUCAUACACUGUUGUUAAUGUCUUGCUGUUUAUGAGUAAAUGGAAGAUACUGUGUUAGACUAACCAACAAAAUUAUUCAAAAUUCAUCUAAAAUCGAUUAAUUCUAGUGGUGUGUGUCAUACAACGAGAUGUAUGCCCCUAGCAAAUCUACUCCAGGACAAGCUCUGAUUACCAAUUAUAGCAAUUUCAUUUCACUUACACUACUAAAGUCCUAGAGAAAGGCAUGACUGUCAAACAAUCAGAUUUUCCUUCUCGGAUCUAUAAGAAAAGAAAUCACUAGAAAUGAUUAAUGCAAGAGUACAUACACUGUAUAUAUAUAUAUAUAUAUAUAUAUAUGUAUGUAUAUAUUACUUGCUUCAGUCAUUGGACUGCAGCCAUACUGUGACACUGCAUUGAAAGGUUUAAUCCAGAGUUUUUCAACCAUUUAUCAACCUAUGAACCCAUUUGAUUCUUAUUUUCCUCCAGUAGACCUGCAGAGCAAUUUGAUGCUUAAAAAAUCCUAUUUAUUUUUAUAAUUAAAUGUUAUUAGGAACUGUAUUAAAAAAUUGUUCAAAUAAUUUGUGUAUUGUACAACCAUAACGGUGGAGACACAUGGCCUAGUGGUGAGAGCAGCGGACUCGCAGUUGAGGGAUCGUGGGUUCGAAUCUAAGACCGGGCGAUGUGUGUGUUGAUGAGCGAAAAACACCUAAGCUCCACGCGACUCCGGCAGAAGGUAAUGGUGAACUUCUGACUCUUUCGCCACAACUUUCUCUCACUCUUUCCUCCAGCAUCUUGCAGCUCACCUGCAAUGGACUGGUGUUCCAUCCAGGUGGGGAACCUAUACGCCAAGGAAACUGGGAAACCGGCCCUUAUGAGGCUUGAUAAGGAACAACAACAACUAAUUUAUUGCAUAUAAAUUUUAUCAACAAAAUCUUAUAUGGACUCUCAAGGACCAUAUAGACCCUGGUUAAGGAUCACAGGUCUUGUCGAACAAAUCAACCUUAGUGCUUAUUAUGUAAGUGUUGAUUCUAGUGGUCUCUUUUGUUAAACCACUAAGUUGUAGGUAUGUAAACAAACCAACACCAGUUGUCAACCAGUGCUGGUGCAAACACAUACAAACACACACACUCAAUGGACUGCCACAGUUUCCAUUUAUUAAAUUUACUCACAAAGUAUAGGUCAACCCAGGGCUAUAGUAGAAGACAUUUGCCCUGGCAUUGAACCCAAAAACCAGGUGUGUGUGUGUGUGAAUGUGUGCGUGUACAUAUAUACAUGGAUACAAAUAGUUAAAUCAAAAGUUUGAAUAACCAAUUCUAAAAAGUUUUGCAGACUUCUCAAUGUAAAGUGAUACAAGUCAUACAAAAAAGGAAAAAGAGAAACAGGUCAAACUGUCAGAUCAAUGGAACAAAUCUAUCAAUUGCCAGGCAACAGUGUUAUCAAUUAACUUGUUCAUAAUCUUCCAAACUAUUUUCAGUCGUUGUAAGAUAUAAUGGUUAACUGGUUACAUAAUGAACUACUACUCUAAACAUCACCAACAGAAACCCUAAUAUUGGCAUUACAUUGGUCAUUGUGGGCAAAGUGGCAUAAUUACUUUGAUGGGUGGACACUGCUCAUAAUCCUUUUCUGAACCUCCAAGAUUGGUGGGAAGGAAUGAGUCAGGUACCCUCAAAUCAGGAAUUUGAUCCAAAUGCAUCAGAGUGACCUCUGUUAAAAACACCUUAGGACCAUAUGGUGUUGUUCUACUAGGUCACAGAUUAAGUUUACCACUCAAGCAGGCCAUAGUAGAAUUUGAACUCAGAACUUAAAGAACCAAAUGAAAUACCAUCAGGCAUAACAUUCAGUGCUCUGAAAAUUCUGCCAGUCUGUUGUCCAAGACUCCUUCUUAUUUACUGACCCCAGAAAGAUCAAAGGCAAAAUUGACUCUGCAAGAAUUUGACCUCAGGACACAUAGGGAUGCAACAAAUUACUGCAAGACAUUUCAUUCGGCACUCUAACAACUCUUGCUGCGAUGGUGGCAUGAACAUCACAACAUCAUUCACAGUAACCACUUCACAAUUCAUGCUUUCUAUCAUAUGAUUAACAACUAUAAAGUAUGCAUAUAGCCAGAACACAAUUAUUCUUCAAGUCUAAUUAAGAGUUUUUAGCCCCAAAAACUGUUAUUUCAGUAGUUUAUGCAAAUAUUGAAAAUUUGAACAAUCUUUUAACCCAAAAUAGCAUGUGAAAAAAAAAACCCUACAAAACAUAAUAAACUGAGGGAAAAUAGUUGAAAAAUAUUAAAAAAUUCCUUUUAUAAUCUUUUCUCUCUCUCUCUCUCAUACACACACACAAAUAAAAAUGUCUGCAUGUCAUCAAUUUAGAAAGAAUUUUAAUAGAAUCUGGUUUCAACUAGCAUUUCAUUUCAUUUGAACUUGUAUGAAAACAUUUAGUAAUGUCACUGUUUAUUUUGUAUGAAAUGUAAUGGUUCUGGCACAGAUAACAGAUCCAGACUAGAUACUUUAUGAUAUGUAACCCCUCCACCACCACCACCACCACCACACAUUUUACUUCUUUUUCUCUUCAAUAUUUUUAUCUAUUUAUUUAACAUUCUUGUUAUGAGUGAAAAGGCUUUGUAAAUUUAAACAUUUUAAAAAUAUUUAUUCUGUUUCAAAUUUCAUGAGGGCCAACAUUUUCUUUCAUCUCUACAGCACCUGUUAAAAUAAGCAUCAUUAAGAUAACCUGAGAGAUUUAUUUAUUUACAUUCUGAGUUCAAAUUUGUCUUUCAUCUUUUAGGGUUAAUUAAAUAAAUAGCAGUCAAGUUCUGGGGUCAAUACAAUUGACUGGCCCCCAUCCCACGAAUUUCAGGCCUUGUGCCUAUAACAGAAAGAAUUAUUAUUAUUAUUAUUAUUAUUAUUGUUGGCUGAAUAGGUAGCAUGCUGGGCAAAAUGCUGAGCAGUAUUUCUUCUGUUGCUACAUUCUGAGUUCAAAUAUUGCUAAGGCCGACUUUGCUUUUCAUCCUUUCAAGUUCAAUAGAUUAAGUACCAGUCAAGUACUGGGGUUGAUGUAAUUGACUUUCCCCCUCCCCCAAAAUUUCAGGCUUUGUGCCGUCAACAGAAAGGAUUAUUAUUAUUAUUAUUAUUACUGUUAAGGUGGCAUGCUGGCAGAAUUGUUAGCACACCAGCCAAAAUGCUUAGCAGUAUUUCGUCCGUCUUUGCAUUUCUGAGUUCAAAUUCUGCCAAGGUCAACUUUGCCUGUCAUCAUUUUGGGACCAAUUAAAUAAGUACCAGUGGAGCACUGGGGUCGAUGUAAUCAACUUAAACCCUCCCCAUAAAUUUCAGGCUUUGUUCCUAUAGUAGAAAGGAUUAUUAUUAUUAUUAUCAUUAUUAUUAUUAUUAAGGUAAUUCUCCCAAGGUUGACUUUGCCUUUCAUCCAACUCCUAAACGAAGAAACUUAUGAUGCUGUUAAUGCUCCUUUUGAACCAUUACAAAUCCACAUUUGUAGGAAAGACAUGAACAGAAAUAGAGUUCCAGGGAAACGAUUUUCAUAGAUGGAAGGAUUGGGCAGAAUGUGAUUGGAUACAAGAUAGGCAAUGAGAAGAGGAGGGCUGAGUGAGUCUGGAAUACCUAAGCGGGGGUGACAUGAGACCAGUUAAUUCUGAAGAGUAGAGAUGAUUAUAGUUGCAGUAGAAAAGGCGACAGGUGACACAUCUAUAAACUAAAAGCUGGACUGUAUCUUUAUUGCAAUCAGUUGGGUGGUUCUUUUGUGACUGUAGUCUUUGGGUGUCAGUGUUCACAAGAGCAGUACCAUUCCAGAUGUGAUAGCAAUACUUCGUCGUGAGUCUUAUCUGAUCUUUGGAAAGGUUCGGUAACCAUUGAGAGCUAAAGUAUCUUCUGAAGAGAAGAGUCCCUUAUUGGGACGCUUGUCUAGGAUUGGUGUCACUAAAAAGGAGAUCCUCGGUGAUAGCCAGGCCCAGUAUUUAGAGUAAUCAUUCAAAAGGAGAAAAGCUGUCCUAGGGGCAGUUGGAGUGGUAGAAAGAAAACGUAGAAGUUGAUCCAAUAGAAUACAUCUUUAUGUUUAUAUUUUUAACGAAGAAGGGUGGGGCUUGAGCCUAGGCUAAAGAAUCGGUGAAUUACUUUGCGUAACCAUUUAUAUUUAACUUGCGUGCUGCUAUUUAAAGAACAAAUAUCAAAUUAGUUAACAGAUAUGAAUGUCAACAAAUUAACUAAUUUUGGUUAUCUUUUUCAGAAAUUUCACUAUUUACAUAUGAAAGACAGCCAAACAAAGUUUUAAUUCCUCACUGACGAAACAUCCCCCACCACACACACAUCAAGUUCAAGUAAUUAAAAAUUUUAGUCAUGGUUCCCAGGGCUUCCAUCAUAAGUGGGACUAUUAGAAGUCGCAAUUCAUGGCUCAAGUUGAAAACCACAUCAGGGCUCCAUACAUUUGAGUGUGGUGACAGGGGAAACUAUCUAAACAAAUGCAGGUAUGGUUAUGUGGUUAAGAUAUUUAUUUUUUAACCACAUGGUUCUGGGUUUGUUUGAUCUCACUACAGGCACAUUGGGUUCUGGUACAGACUUGAGUUGACAAAUGCUUUGAGUACAAAUUUGGCAAGCAGAAACUCUGUGGAAGCCUGCUGAGUGUUUGAUUUAUAUGUCUGUGUCUACCCUUCAUUAAUGUAUAUAGGCGUAGGAGUGGCUGUGUGGUAAGUAGCUUGCUUACCAACCACAUGGUUCUGGGUUCAGUCCCACUGCGUGGCACUUUGGGCAAGAGUCUUCUACUAUAGCCUCGGGCUGACCAAAGCCUUGUGAGUGGAUUUGGUAGACGAAAACUGAAAGAAGCCCGUCGUAUAUAUGUAUGUGUGUGUAUAUGUUUGUCCCCCCAACAUCGCUUGACAACCAAUGCUGGUGUGUUUACGUCCCCGUAACUUAGCGGUUUGGCAAAAGAGACCGAUAGAAUAAGUACUAGGCUUACAAAGAAUAAGUCCUUGGGUCAAUCUGCUUGACUAAAGGUGGUGCUCCAGCAUGGCCACAAUCAAAUGACUGAAACAAGUAAAAGAGUAUCAGAAAGUCUCAGUUUGCUAAUAGCAUCUCAGAAUCUCUGUACAUUGCUGACAGUAUCACUGUGCAAGCUAUGUGAGUGUUCAAGGAGGGAUUCAGAGUGCAGGUAAGUGUCCAUCAGGGAUCAGUUUUCACCCCAUUUGUUUAUGAUUUUCCAUGCUACAACAGAGGAGUUUAAAACUAAUUGCAAAAUGUAAACUGAAGGCCUGAAAAUAAAGUUUUAGCAGGAAAAAAUCCAGAUCUCUGUUGCCAUCAGGACGUGACUAUACUCAAAGUACAGAAAAAGGAAAGAAUAGGAAUUCAUACAGUGCAAAACUAUGGGUGCACAACAGUGGGAUCACUAGCAAGCUGACAGAGAAGGAAGACUUUAUAUGUGGAAGGAUAAUAGUUCACAGCAACAGCAACUGUGAAAUAAAUUCUUUCAAAUGUUUCUCUAUAGAGGUAGUCACCAGCUUCUUUUACCAAGGUAACCUAAUAAGCAGAUGGGUAAGUGCACUGAGGGGAUUAUAGCCAGAGUAAGAACAGUGGAGAAAAAGUUCAGAGAGCUGUGUUCCCUUUACUGACAACAAGGGAAUUCUCUCUAUCAGUGAACAGCAGCUUGCAUGAUGGUUAUAUGAAGCAUUAUGUUGCAUGGUAGUGAAACAUGUACAUUGAAUACACAGAGUGUGAAGGCUGCAAACAAAAACCAAAGUAACACAUGUGUAAUGUUAAUGUAUAUAAAUGAUAGAGCACAAAGGAGUUGAGAGAAAAAACUAGCUACAAGAGGAUUCAGGUGAUAGAUGUAUAAUGGUAUUGCAGAUGAUAAUUUAGCAAAAGAGCAUCAGAAGAUCCAGGUAGAAUGUAGAGAAAAAUCUCAAAAUGCUGGUUAGGCAAUGACUAAUGACCACAAGAGGCAAAGCAUUGUGUUGGUGAAAAACCUAUACAACCCAUGCAAACAGGAAAAAUUGAAUGAUGAUGAUGUAACUAUCAGUAACAAUACAUAAAUAAAUAAAAUCCAGUAAGUUCAAAACAAAAAUACUUUUGCAAUAUUUAUUCCAUCUGAGUUUCACAGACACUCCUUCAUCACUCUUAUAUCUUGACUGCCCACAAGGGGCUACACACAGGGGACAAACAAGGACAGACAAACGGAUUAAGUCGAUUAUAUCGACCCCAAUGCAUAACCGGUACUUAUUUAAUCGACCCCAAAAGGAUGAAAGGCAAAGUCGGCCUCGGUGGAAUUUGAACUCAGAACGUAGUGGCAGAUGAAAUACUGCUAAGCAUUUCGCUUGGCAUGCUAACAUUUCUGCCAGCUCGCCGCCCUUACUCCUUCAUCACUCUUGUUAUCAUAAAUGCAGUAAAUCACCAACUGGAAUGCUAGAAUUCUGUCACUAAUCAUGUUCUCUAAAUGUGUGAUAUUAGAAGGUAAAAAUGGAGUUGAUUCUAAAAUUUACAGUGAUUAACAAAUCCUUUGAACCCGACUCACAUUUGAAGCAACCCAACUGUAACUUUGUAACAGUAUUUAAGUAAACUUAUUUAACUAAGCUUAGCACCUCAAUCAACACCGCAAGCUUGCCACAAACACACACAAAACUACAAUUCCCACACAAAUACACUCCAAUAAAACCCACUCCUUUACACACUGCUAACUCCAUAAUUUAUAACUGAGGUGUCAAAAUAAAUUUUCUGUGGCAUUUUUGACAUGACAAGUUUGAGUAAAUUAUUUACUUUUGUCUUAAAUAUCUGGCUGAAACCAAGUCUACACAAGAAUUUCUUUUUACUGCUGUCCUUUCUUCUAAACUAGAACCAAUUAGGUCAAGUAUAGAAACUUUUUUGGUCAAUGAUUUAAGGUUGCAAGUUACAGACAAUCUAAAUUUGGUUGUUCUUAACUCCAGGCCAAGUUUGAUGCAGCAGACUUGUGAUCAGUGACAUUCUAACUAAAACCACCCUGUCUAUUCUUUUAAAGCAUAGUGCAUUUAGGACUACACUUAAACAUCUCUUUUUCUUUUUAAAGAUGGUAGGAUUGGAUUUGAGGGAGAUUUAGUGUAUCAAGUAAAGGGUUAGGGUUACAUAUAUAUAUUUUAGGGUAUCUAAGAUAUACCACCAUGCUUGAAAUAGCAGCCAAAACUUGACUCUAAAACCACAUUAAAAGUUCAUACAGCACCUGGUUUUAGAGUCAAGUUUUGGCUGCUAUUUCAAGCACGGUGGUAUCUCUUAGAUACCCUAUUUUUUAUUAUUUUUAAAGGCACAAUAAAUCUAAAAUUGUAUAAAUCUAGUUCUCCUUCUAUAUGAUGAUAGAAUUUAAUUUGACAGAGAUUCCUACAAGACCAAGCAACCACAGAGAAUCUCUCAUUAGUUAUGCUACUGUUUAGCCAUAAGUCAGUCCUGACCCAGCAGAUCGAUGAUGAAAUACUUUCAGAUUGAGAGUAAUUUCUCUUUCUUUUAGACAGCAUCUUCACAACUACAUCAUCCAAAGUGGCUUUCCAUUUUUCUUAAGAUUGUAAAGAAUAAUUUAAGAGAUUUGGCUGCAGUUUUUAGCAAGUAAAGAGUAAAGUGACCAUGUAAAUUCACCCCAUCUUCACCCUAGGACUUAAGCUAAAUUAGUUUAACUAAUAACCAUCAACUGUCUCUGACAUUAUCAACAUCUUUCACUGAUGAUUACCGAAUGGGAAUAUAGACUAUGAUAUCUAUAACUUUCGCGAGACUAUUUUGUAAUGUAAGAAAAAUAAAAAAAAAAGGCAACAAUCAAGAAUUGAAACCUAAUCACAGGCUUAGUUAAUGAAGAGCUUAACUUUUCUUGCCAAUCAGCAGUCACCAUUUAAUGACUAUUAUCUAAUUAUAAUUUUCUUAUCUCUUCAGGUGUAAAAAAAAAAAAAAAAAAAAAAAAACGUCACUUGCUUUCACUAACUGUUUUAGGUGCCUGUGGAGUCACAAGUAGACAGAUACCUUUUUUAACCCUCCCACCUUUGAUCUAGUAGAACAUCCAGGAUGUGACAGUGGAAGGGAGAGAUAGAGAUGUGUCGGCACUUGGCUGCUACUCAUUUUCAGCCGAGUGAAUUGGAGCAAUGAGAAAUGAAGUGUCUUGCUCAAGGACACAACACAUCACCUGCUCCAAGAACUGAACUAGUAACUUUAUAAUUCUAAGCCUGAUACCCUAAAUCACUAGGCUGUACACCAUUUUAGUAAAGCAGGUGAAAUGAGAGACCAUAGUAAAGAACCUGUUGAAAAAUACAACCCACACACACACACACACAAAACCACACAAAUAUACAAAAAAAAACACACAAAUACAUAAGAGUUAAUUUUGCUAAGAGGCUCAAAUAAUCACCAAAUCUAAUUAAACAAAUCAAAUACGAUGGUUAAUUAAGCCAAUGCUUUACAUGUUAAGCACACACACACUGUGCAUGAUACAUUAAAUUAAGAUUAUCAAAGAUAGAUGAUAAUCAUCAAAAACUACACAGUUUAGUAAAUGCUUAGUGUAAAAGCUGAAUUCACCAAUUUAAUCUUUUUCUUUUUUUUUUUUAAUUCCAUUAAUGUUUCCUUGGUUAAAAUUAUUUGUUGCUUAUAAUCCUUUCAAACAGCAAGGGGAGAGAGAGAGAGAGAGAGAGAUGUGUGUGUAUGUGUGUGAGUGCAUGGUGUGUGUGUGUGUGCAUGGUGUGUGUGUGUGCAUGGUGUGUGUGUGUGCAUGGUGUGUGUGUGUGUGUGUGUGUUUGAGUGUGUGCAUGAGUGUGUGCAUGAGUGUGUGUGAGUGUGUGCAUGAGUGUGUGUGUGUGUGUGUGUGCAUGAGUGUGUGUGUGUGUGUGUGUGUGCAUGAGUGUGUGUGUGUGUGUGUGCAUGAGUGUGUGUGCGUGCAUGAGUGUGUGUAUGAGUGUGUGUGUGUGUGCGUGCAUGAGUGUGUGUGUGCGUGCUUGAGUGUGAGUGAGUAUGUGUGUGUGUGCAUGUGUGAGGGAAACAGUAAGAAAGAAAUUGAUGUGUAGGUAUACAGGAUGUGAACACAUCUUUCAAAAGUCUAUAAAUGGAAGACAAUGUAAUGUUACAGAGCACACUCCAAGUUUUAACUUUAUUCUCUUCCAGAUGUAUCAACAGAAUCAACACAGCAAACUCCAGUCUAACAAAGGAAAUAAAAAAAAGGCGUGUCAUGCUUGUAACUCUGGCUGCCAACAAUAGCAAACUUGUAAAAUUAUCAGCUUCUUCAAGACAGCUGGGUCCUUUGUGUUCAAGGUCAGGAAACAGCUGGAAGCCUCUGAGGAAGAUGUGUCAUCAGUAACAAGAAAGAAAGAAUCAAACAUUUCCAGUCAGACAUCACUAGGAGGGACGAGCUUGUUCAGGAGAUCUGGGGCAUCAACAACAAUUCCAGCAGAUCAAUGAGGGACAUUGCUGAGCAGCUCAAGUUUGCAGACUCCACUGUCAGACAUCUAGUACACAAGGACAUGAAAUUACAAGCCUUACAUGAUGAGAAGAUGGCAGUUCAUAUCUAACAAGACCUGGGAUAACUAUGUCAUCAUGAGACACCCAGUUCAGUAUCACAGGGCUCUUUUACUCUUACUUGUUUCAGUCAUUUGACUGUGGCCAUGCUGGAGCACCGCCUUUAGUCGAGCAAAUCGACCCCGGGACUUAUUCUUUGUAAGCCCAGUACUUAUUCUAUCGGUCUAAAGGCGGCGAGCUGGCAGAAACGUUAGCACGCCGGGCGAAAUGCUUAACGAUAUUUCGUCUGCCGUUACGUUCUGAGUUCAAAUUCCGCCGAGGUCCACUUUGCCUUUCAUCCUUUCGGGGUCGAUAAAUUAAGUACCAGUUACACACUGGGAUCGAUGUAAUCGGCUUAAUCCCUUUGUCUGUCCUUGUUUGUCCCCUCUGUGUUUAGCCCCUUGUGGGUAGUAAAGCAAUAUAUUCUAUCGGUCUCUUUUGCCGAACUGCUAAGUGACGGAGACGUAAACACACCAGCAUCGGUUGUCAAGCAAUGCUAGGGGGACAAACACAAACACACACACACAUAUAUAUAUACAUAUAUACGACAGGCUUCUUUCAGUUUCCAUCUACCAAAUCCACUCACAAGGCAUUGGUCAGCCCAGGCCUCUAGCAGAAGACACUUGCCCAAGAUGCCACACAGUGGGACUGAACCCGGAACCAUGUGGUUGGUUAGCAAGCUACUUACCUGUCUAAUAUUCUUUUGAACUGCUGCAUCUGGAGCAUCACUGUGGCAGGGAGACCAGCCAGCAGCCUCACAAUGCCAAAAACUCACUGGGCUGUUGUCAUGAGUGUAGAGGGUAGCACUGGUAGGAGCUCACCUGAUUCUGACAUGCAAUCACUUUCCUGAUUACAUUGGAGCCAUCAUUGGGGUUGAGGCCAGUUUUGACAAAAGAUCUGUUUCUUUGCUGUACUCAAGACAAAUGUGUAUACAUUUAACUGGGAGUAAGUUCUUUUCCUCGUUUGGUGUUUGUUUUUUCCUUGUUAUUUUGUUCAUAGUUGCCUAAGUUAUGUAUGUGUGCACAUAGGCACAUCCUAUCUGUAUAUGUGCACCUGUCAUAUGUUUAUAUAUAAGCUUAAGUAUACACAGAGUAUGUGUGCAUGUACAGAUAUAUACCUGUGCAUGGAUGCUGACAGGUCUGUUCAUUCAAUAUAUGAAACAGUGAAAGCACAAUGCUUGUCAAUGCAUAUAUAUUCAGAAAAAGUGUAAUAAAUUGAUAAUAUGUAUGGAAACAAUCAGAAAUUGCUUGACGUACAUAUAAUAGGAAACCCAGCUACCUGGAUAGAUUCUGUUAGAAUGAAAUCCAAUCUAAAUUAUUUUUCUUCUGUAAGUUCUAUUUACAGUCUGCAAUUUUUUAACCUUUAUCAUACAAUAUUUCAUAGAACCAAAAGCUGGCUAAGGUAGGUUGGUAUCAAAAGGGUUAAAGAAUUUAAAGGUGCAACUGUACAAGGUUUCUAAGUUUUUUUAACAGAAUACAGAUAUUAUUGACACACUAGCUAGCCCAGUACCAUCAAAAAUGACAGCUAAUUGUAAUAUUUUAUAUAUAAAUAUGGAUGGUAAAUCAAAUUAAUACACUUGUCAAUGAUAACUAGUGGUUGUCUUUGAGAUGUAACAUCAAUCAUCAUUUGUUACUGAAAGGAUGCUAGUUCACAUAUUCAAACAUUCACAUACUUCCCUUGUACACACACACACACACACACAUACAUUUACUCACACAGAGUUGAAACACUGUUUGAUUUUUCUUUUCAGAGUUGAAUGUUCACCAUCUCACACACACACACACAAACAUUCACAUACCUCCCUUUUACAUACACACACAUAUACUCACACAGAGUUGAAACGCUUCCACUAACAGUUUGCUAUCACCACUUCCUUUCUCAUUCAUAUGUUGUGACGGAGAAAAAUACAAGAGUAUUAUUAUACUCAGACAGUACAAGGGAGGUAAUUGUUUCAUAAUAUUUGGUGGGAUUAGAAGUCUGAAUUUGAAAUUUAAGAAUGAGGAAGGAAACGUAUAGAAUAGAAAUUUUUUUUUUUUUUUUUUUUGCUGACUUAUUACAAAGUUUAUAAAAUUUCUAGUCUUUAGUAGUUUGUCAAGAAGCAGAAAAAAGUGGAAUUUUGUAGGCAAUUUUUAGUUUUUCAGUUUCUGUAAAAACCCAUUUGUCAAUUUUUAGCCCAAGUUCAGCUCUGACUGAGAUCUGCAGUCAAUGAUGAUUCUGAUAGUAUAUGAUCAAAACUAGUAUAAUAUAUAUAUAUAUAUAUAUAUAUAUAUAUAUAUAUAUAUAUAUACCUGCAUAAUUCAAUAUCUUUUUUUUUUCUUUUUAAGAGGAAGUGAUUUGAGAGAAUACAUCUGUUAUAUCUAGCAAGUUGACUGCUGAUUGUGAAAGCCUCUCUCAUUGGCUCAUGUAAGGAUGAAAUAUUGAGAGGUGACAUUUAAAUUGUGUCAAUCUAAUAAAACCAAAAGAAUAUUGGUCCUUAGAGCUAAAGAUGAUGUGUCAUUCCAUAGCUUUUAAAAUAAAAUAAAAAAAGAAAAGAAAAACACACUGAUGUACUUUAAAUCAUAGGUAGAGUAAAUGCUUAGAGAUUUGAAGAAAAUGAAAAAUUCUUAGAAAUAACAAUAAUAAUAAUUUUCACUGCAUGAAAGAAAAAAAAUGUUGAAAUGAUUUGUGUCAAAAAUUAAAGAAUGAAGUAAAAUACAAAAUAAAACAAAAACAGGAGAAGGUAGAGGCAAAACAAGACUUUAAAAAAUGUAAAAAAACUAGCAUAAAACAAAAGAUUAUCAUAGCUCUAUUGUAAAGUGUGCGUGACUUUUCAUCAGCUGAGAAGACACAUGAAAAAAGGAAUAAAAUUGAAAAAAGUUGCCAGCCGCUAUAAUUAAUGCACACUUCAGUCUCCAAGACAAGCAGUGUAAUUCUUUAUUUUUCUUCAAUUUACUUUUUUCCUGUUAAGGUUCUAAUUUGAAUUGAUAAAAUAUUAUUUGUAAGAUUGAGAGGAAUAAAAGCAAGCUAUUUUCAACACAUUUAUUUUUUUUAAACAAAAUACUGCUAAUGAGUAAAUUACAGACUGUUAAUCUGUCCUAAUAUUUAUUUUGAAAUAACCAAAUAUUAGUUAAAUCGAAAUCUUAAAAUUGUAUCCAUAUUGUUUGUGAUCAAGAGUUUUUGAACAUCUACCAUAUUCUAAUUUUAAAAAAUCAAGAGAUUUUUAUAUUUUCAUUUAACCCAAAUGUCAGAAUUUUAAUGAAUUUCCGUGGUUCAUGUGUGUGUGUGUGUGUGUGUGUGUGUGUGUGUGUGUGUGUGUGUGUGAAUGUUUAUAUUAAACAAUUUCAAUUCUGAUUAGUAAUUAAUGAUAUUUGCCUCACAAUCACCAUUCCUCCUUCCUAACAUCCACCUCUUGACCAUCAUAAAGUCCAUGUACUGAAAGAUAGCAUCAUGUUAGGAACUAGCUACAUGGUUUCCCCUAUUACAUUCAGACUUCCUUUUCUAUUCCUCUCUCUCUCAUCAGUCCCUCUCAUAUCACUCAUUGUUGACAUCCAUCCCUUUCUCUUUCCCAUGCUCUCUCUCUCUCUCUCUCACUCUUUCAUAUAUAUAUAUAUACAUUACUCCCACUUUCAGCACCCCACCCUCAACUCAUGUUGUUUUUAUCCAACAGCCUUAUCAACAAUCAUUGUAUAGCUGUCUAUCACUCUUUGUUUCACUCUUCCUUUAUUCUCUGCUCUGUCACCCUCUCAAUCCUAUUACUCUGGUUCUUUUCCAUUACUUUCUCCAACAUCAUUCUCUUACUGGCUCUUUUUUGUCACUCUUCUACCUGCAGAGAACAAGCCAACCCUCUGGUACUGGUAGACAAAUGAAUGGAGACAACAUAGGGUAGAGAGAACUGUUUAGUCUUACAGAGAACAUAACAACCUCUGUAGUGUUGGUGCCAUAGUAAAAAGCACUCUCCACACACUGUAAAGUGGUUAUCUACAGAAUAAAAUGUCAAAAAUGGAAUAGGCAAGAGAGAUGUGGUGCCCAACCUAUCUCAUUUAUACAUGAUACCCUGAUUCAGUCCACAACAACCUGUACAUGCAAGCAGGGAAAGUAAACAUUAAGUAAUAAUGAUGAUGAUAUAACCGUUGGAAACAAGCCAAUAUAGGGGUAGUCAUUGUGUCAAAAGACUUGUUAAAAAUAGCAACUCUAUCUCCCUCAAACUAUAUCCUGCCAUCCAUCUUAAGAUACAUUUGAUAACCUAAUACUGAAUGCAGUGUCUAAAAAACAAAAAUUAAAAAGAUGGGAUGAUUAUAGUUGCAAUAACUUUUGAUUACAGAUGUGCUUGAUCAGAGCUGACAGCUCAACAGAAACCCAUAUCCAGUAAGUAUUUAUUUUCACAUUUAGUUGGGGCAAUUAGAGUUUCAGUUUUCUAAUGAACUAAUAAACACAUCUGUAUCUGAUGUAAAUUUAUAAACGCUCUUAAAAAAGAAAUGGAUUAUUAAGAUAAUUAUGGUAUCCAUUGUUCACUAAUUAGAGACUAAUUAGUGUAUUAAUUGCAAUGUCUUUUAACAGUCUGUUGGGCAAUAAAUAAAUGAAAUCCACUAAUGAAAGAUAAGGCUUCUGAUGAAACAAGAUCAGCUCAAUACAGCUCCACCUAAUGGUGAAGACAAUUCCACUUGCUAAAUAUUAUCGAUUAGUUUAUAAUAAGUAUUACAAUAAAUCCAUACAUGUGCAUGUGUGUGAUUAUUAUUAUUAUUAUUAUUAUUUCACGACCGUAUGGCUUGGGUCAUGAACCAUUUUGUGCAAAGUUGUCGUCCAGCCGACUAAAAUGCCUUAUAAGUUAAAUUUCAUCAUCAUCAUUUAACAUCUGUUUUCCAUGCUGGCAUGGGUUGGAUGGUUUAACAGGAGCCGACAAGGCUAGGAGCCACAUCAAGCUCCAUUGUCUGUUUUGGCUUGGUUGCCACAGCUGGGUACCCUACUUAAAGCCAACCACUUUACAGAGUGUAGUGGGUGCUUUUUACACGACAUCAACACCAAUACUUUUUACCUUUGUGUGGCACCAGUAAAUGAAAGCUGUGUAGAAGAUGGUAAUGUUUGCAUGUGUUUGUCUUUAGUUGACAUUGCUUGGGCAAUGGUGAUACUUGUUUGUGUCAUGCAUAAACAAUAUGCCUUACAGCUCAGUGGUUUGUCAUGCAAAAACCAGUGAAAUAAAAAAAUUCACUCAAAUACAAGCAAAGGUAAAUGACAAGAAAGGCAUCUGACCAUAGAUUACUGCCUCAAAAAGUUUCAUCCAACCUUUAUUAGCAUGGAACGAGCAAACAUAAAACAGUGAUUAUAGCCUCAGGGUGACUGAUAUUUGACAGAUGUAAACUGUAUGGAAGCCCAUUGGGGCACAGUUUCAAUAUGAACCCAGUUUAACACCAUCCUUGUUAUCUUUAAUUGAUGCCUUUAGCAAUCUGUUGCAAAAAUUGGAUCCAGGUCUCUAGUCUAUGGCUAAACUCUCUUCCUUUCACCCAAUCUUGGAGAGCCUGUGAAAUGCCAUAGACACUAUCAUUCCUUCAAGGGCUUUGUAAUAUAUAAAAAAUAAAAAAAUACAGCAAAACAAAAUGCUACCAGGAGGGGUUUAAUAUCAGAACAUAGAGAAAUGGAACUUGUUCUCUACUGCUUUAACUAUUGUGAGGCUGGUUUCUUUUUAGAGACCGUUUGCUGCUUGGCACAUUCUGAAGUUGUACUUUGUUCUUUCUUCACAGACUAACGGUGCUCUCAAUCACACCAAAUUUCCUACGCACUGUACAAUUAUUAUUCUUUUCAGCAAGUUCUUUGACUAAAUUUAAACUUCUCACUGCAAGCAAUAAGUAUUUCUUAUUUUUUUGUUUGUUUUUGCAUCCAGACUUCUGUUACAAGGAUGCAUACUAAAGAAUUUUUUUCAACACUACUUGCAUAUAUUAAUAACACAUUUUUCACAUUUUAAAUUGUAAUCAUUUAAUUUGCAUAAUCACUUUUAAACAAAACAGUGUCUAAGAACACAUCACCAGCAAGCUAAAAAAAAAAAAAAAAUUAACAAUAGCCGUUAGAUGUAUUCACAAUGCAUACAUUGUUUCAUAACCACAGACAAAGAAGUGUGUAUAUGUGUGUAUUAGUCAUUAGAUGUUCCAGGGCUAAUGCCUUUAGUAUUUUCAUCAUCACAGAUUUAGAGCUGCUUUUUAUAUUUUAGUUUUAUUUAUUUCUUUUUAGUAUAAAGGUUUCCCUUAAGUUUAACUGAUAUUUUUUAUAUUAAAUUUCUCACAUUAUUUUGAGUAAAUACAGUAAUUACUUUUAAUUAACAAUAUUGCUGAAAGAAAUUACUGCAGGGCAGUAUUCUGCAUACAAAUACACACAUAAUAAGCCAUGCCAUGUGCAAUAUGUGAGAUGAAAUACUUCCUCUGGGGUGUUUAAAAUCUGAACCAACAGGCAUAAAAAGAUAAAUUCAAUACAAUCAACCUAUCAAGAUUUUUGGGAAAUGAAUAUAAUUAUUUUUAAUUAGCAUUUUGAUGGUGACUACAUUAAAUAUGCUAACACUAAUUUGACAAUUGUUUUUCAUGCAAACAGCAUUGCUGAUUAACUGAAAUUAAUGAUUUUUUUUUUUUUUAGUAUUUAAAUAUGCUUAUGUACUUUUAAAUACAAGUAUGGCUGCAUGUUUAAGAAGUUUGCUAUACAACUAAAUGGUUUGGGAUUCAUUUGCAUGGUGUGGCAUCUUGGGCAAGUGUCUUCUAUAAUAACAUCUGGUUUGACUUAUAGCUUAUGACUCAAAUUAAUAGAUGGAAACUGUGCAGAAGCCCAUCAUGUGUGUGUGUGUGUGCAUGAGAGAGAGAGAGAGAGAGAGAGAGAUUAUGCAGCUUUAUGUCAGCCUUAUGCUGACACCACUUGGUGUUCUGUGCUUAUAAUCUAUAACUUAGCAGUUUGACAGACAAAAAUCAACAAAUAUCAGAUUUUAAAAUGCCUGGAUUGAUGUGAUUAACUAAAACCCUUAAGGCAUUGCUCCAGCAUAGCCACAGUUCAAUAACUGAAAUGAGUAAAGGAAUAAAAACAGUUUAUUUCUAAAUGAAUCAACUUAAUGAUUCAUCACUACUUUGGCAAAUUUGGUAUAGUGAAUUUAUGCCUUGCUGAGGAGGUCUAAUAAGACAGAAACAUCCAAUUAUCUUCCUGUACAUGCUGAAACAAUUGCUAUGAUAUUGGUAGUCAUUGAUCAAAUGCCAUUUCUUCGCAUCAUUAUUUUUAAUUAGCUUUUAGGUGCUCACUAUACUAAGUAUACACUGGAUGGCCACUAAUGCAAAGAGAGGUAAUUAUCUCCUCAAUGUGUGGUGAGAUUAAAAAUUUGAAAUUAAAAAAUAUGAAAAGAAUACAAAGAGCUCAUAUAAAUAAAUAUAUAUUUAUUAUUAUUAUAUUGAGUUCAAAUUCCACCGAGGUCAACUUUGCCUUUCAUCCUUUCAGGGUCAAUAAAUUAAGUACCAGUUGAGUACUGGGGUUGAUGUAAUCGACUAUCCCCUUUCCCCCAAAUUCCAGGCCUUGUGCCUAUAGUAGAAAGGAUUAUUAUUAUUAGUAGUAGUACUACUACUACUACUAUUUUUACUACUGCUAUUAUUACUACUAUCAUUAUUACUAUUUUGAGGGCGCAAGGCUUAGUAGUUAGGGUGUUGCAUUAUCUAGCGAUCACAGUUUCAAAUCUUAGACCAAGGGGUGUGUUGUGUUCUUGAGCAAAACACUUCAUCUCAUGUUGCUUUGCAAUCACAUCAACAUCUGAUGCAUGGUACACAGUGCACCUGUUCAAACAAUGUCGAUCUGAUGGAGAGAGUGAGCUAAUGUGCCACACAUAUAUUUGAUCACUUUAAACAAAUCAUUUGCACAGGUCAUUCAUCAAAACAAAAACAUAUAUUGGCUUCAAUGGGCGAGUCCAUCAUCAUGCCAUCAAAGUGACACUGGGGUAAAAUAUAUGAAGCCCAGUAUACCCAUCAUGACUACCUGUUUGAUAAGGGUACACCAAGCACAUGCAACACAAUCAUAUGUGCAUGACAUGGUGAUCUCAUAUCAAGAUAAGCAGUGCAUGACCUUGCAGGUAGGGCCCAAUUAAAAUUUCCUUCAGGUUGAGUAGCCCAUCCCACUCAAAAGGUCCCUGAAUAAGGGCUGUUUAAGGAUGUUGAAUGAAACACCUAUUUCCAGAGGUGAAUUAUUCAAACCCCAAAGAAUUCUUGCUCCCCCACUACUUCUGCUCGUCAUCAGCGAUGCACAUAUCAUUAGCCACCAAGGGACAUGCUCAACUGGUUGAAGUCAAGCAACAGACAAGCAAAUCUGUGGCAUUGAGCAGAAUAUCUGCUGUGGCCCAUCUUUAUACCAAGACAAAACAUGUACAUGAUAACACUUCCAAUCAGUUAAGAUCAAAAGCCAUGGGAGUCACUACCUAGUACUGCGUCAGGGCAUAUGAUUACUAUUAUUGUGGAGGCGCAAUGGCCAAGUGGUUAGGGCAAUGGACUCGUGGUCAUAGGAUCGCAGUUUCGAUUCCCAGACCAGGCAUUGUAUGUGUUUAUUCAGCAAAAACACCUAAAGCUCCACGAGGCUCUGGUAGGGGAUGGUGGUGAACCCUGCUGUACUCUUUCACCCCACCUUUCUCUCACUCUUUCUUCCUGUUUCUGUUGUACCUGUAUUUCAAAGGGCCAGCCAUGUCACACUCUGUGUCACGCUGAAUCUCCCUGAGAACUACAUGAAGGGUACACAUGUCUGUGGAGUGCUCAGCCACUUGCACGUUAAUAAAUGAGCUGCAACGUCACUGGUGCCAAGCUGUAUCAGCCUUUGCCUUUCCCUUGGAUAACAUCGGUGGCAUGGAGAGGGGAGGGCAGUAUGCAUGGGCGACUGCUGACCUUCCAUAAACAAUCUUGCCCAGACUUGUGCCUCGGAGGGUAACUUUCUAGGUGCAAUCCCAUGGUCAUCCAUGACCAAAGGGGGUCACAACAACAACACAACAUUACUAUUAUUAUUAUCUAUGAAGUUCUUACAAUUUUUAGUAAUUGAUAAUCAUGUAUAGAUAUGUUAACACAAUAAAUUCAGAUUAGAGAGAGCACUGAGAACAGAAGAGAUAGUGUUACUGAUAAAAUCAAAGAUUGUUUUGAUGAAAAGAAAAAUACUGCCGAGAGAGAGAAAUUAACUGCAGAGUAAAAAUGGUAGAGGAGUUUAUAAAGACAGGAAAAUACAAUUAAAUAUAUAUUUUUUUUAAAUAUCCAAUCAACAAUAAUAGAAGGAAUGUCAUGAGUCAUUAAUUUAGAAAGAAAAGUGUGAAAAUGUCAACAUUUUGAAGAGGAAACAAACAAAACAAAACCAAAUAAUUUAUUCAAAUAUACACUUUCUGAUGUCAUUGUAACGGAACUAAAAGAAAUAUUUCAGCAAAUUACUAAUUAAAUUUUUUUUUUUUUAUAUUUUUUAUCUUUUACUUGUUUCAGUCAUUAGACUGUGGCCAUGCUGGGAUACCACCUUGAAGAAUUUCAACUGAAUGAAUCAACACCAGUAUUUAUUUUUUUUUAAGCCUGGUAUUUAUUGUAUUAGUCUCUUCUGCUGAACUGCUAAGUUACAGGGACAUAACACACCAACAGCAGUUAUCAUGUGGU